CAAGAAAAAUGCUCUCAAAAGCCUGCCUGCCCUCUGAGCUCCGAUCGAACUCCGAUCAUCGGGCUUCGCCGUCCUCUGUCAUCUCCGCCACCGUUCACGAUGGUCGGAGUUCCCAAAAGCGAGUUUUACGCUCCUUAAAGCUUCCCAAAGCCCAAUCCAACGGUAAUAUUCCAUUUCCUUUCUAUUUUAAAAGCGCUUUUUGCCUCAAAAACUAUUCAAAUCUUCGAAAUAAAAAAAUAGAAAAGAGAACAAAAAGUAAUCUCUGAAAAUCACCUUAGAUCUAAUUUUAUUCCUUGUAUAUGUGUAAUACCCGUGUCUGUUUUACACUGUUUUUCCGGUAAAAAAAACCCCCUUUACAAUGCUUUCUUUCGACUUUUAUAGCCUUAUACAGUAUUUUUUACAGAUUUCUAUUUCAUUUCUUGCUAUGUUUGUUUCGUUUCUACUGCUUUUCUUUCUCCUUUUGUAGGUGUUCGCGAGAAUGAUGGCGAGUACUCUGGCUUUAAUUCAUGCGCCAAUCUCGGCGCGAUUCAGAACUAGAGUAAUGGCGCUGUUGGGGGCUACUGGAAUGGCGCGAUUUGAAAAGGCGCGUCGUUUGGGAUGGUUGCUGUGCAAAUUCUAGAACCUUCCUUUUGUGGCGCUGAAAGGUGCAUAAAUCCCUAGGGUUCCCAAAUUUGAAAGUAGAUUUGGACCAUCGGGCCACAUAGUUUAUUGGGUCUGAUUUGUUUGGGCCGACUUAAUUUAUGUAUUGGGUUUUGUGUGCUUCUGGGUCGAGGGUGUAAAUGGGUCUAUUGGGUAGGUUUAGGUAUUUGGGUUGUUUAUUGUAACUGGACUUUAAAUUCUCACGGGCCCGGGCAGAUUUAGGCUACUACAGCUGCCCCUCUUUGCUUAUUGCUGUGUAACAAGAAUCGAGCAAAGACUCAUAAAAAGACUAAAUUUGCCCAGCCUUAUCGGGUUAUGGUCCUCAGUCUUCUCAUUACAAACACAAGACUGUCAUGUCGAUAUCUUCGAUCGGCUCUCAGUCGAACAUAGAGAUACCAAAUCAUCUUAGAUUUGCUUCAACGUAAACACGUGAAUGCCAAAUCAGCUAUGUCUUCGAUCUGCUCUCCGUCGAAUACAGAGAUGCCAAAUCAUCUUAGAUUUGCUUCAACGUAAACACGUGAAAGUCAAAUCUGCUACAUCUUCGAUCUGCUCCCCGUCGAAUACAGAAAGAUAAGAUCUGUCAUCUUGGAUCUACUCCCCGUCUAUUACGGAGAGAUAAGAUCUGUCAUCUUGGAUCUACUCCCCGUCCAUUACGGAGAGAUAAGAUCUGUCAUAUUUGAUCUGCUCCCCGCCUAUUACAGAGAGAUAAGAUCUGUCAUCUUGGAUCUGCUCCCCGCCUAUUACAGGGAGAUAAGAUCUGUCAUCUUGGAUCUGCCCUGAUGAAGGUCAGAUCUGCUAUGUCUUUGAUCUGCUCCCCGUCGAAUACAGAGAGAUAAGAUCUGUCAUCUUGAAUCUACUCCCCGCCUAUUACAGAGAGAUAAGAUCCACUAUCUUGGAUCUGCCCCGAUGAAGGUCAGAUCUACUAUGUCUUUGAUCUGCUCUCCGUCGAAUACAGAGAGAUAAGAUCCACUGUCUUGGAUCUGCCCCGAUGAAGGUCAGAUCUGCUACGUUUUUGAUCUGCUCCUCGUCGAAUAUAGAGAGAUAAGAUCUGUCAUCUUGGAUCUACUCCCCGUCUAUUACAGAGAGAUAAGAUCCACCAUCUUAGAUCUACCCUGAUGAAGGUCAGAUCUGCUACGUCUUUGAUCUCCUCCCCGUCGAAUAUAGAGAGAUAAGAUCUGUCAUCUUCAACUUGUUCCCUAUAAGCACAGGGAUGCCAUGUUGAAAUCUUUGAUCUUCAUUGUCCCCUAGAGGACAUAACCUGUAGAAUGUGUAUGUGCCUAUGCCUAAUUAUUAGGAUGCCAUGAUUGAAAUGAAUCUAAUGCUCCUAUGAUGCAAAAUGACUUUUAUUUUGGACAUCUUGAUUCAUUCAAGUUUCGUUUUGUUUCACUCAAAGUACCAACCCUAUUUUGCUCGUAUGCUUAGAACCUUCUCCAUCGAUUUGGUCCACUGUAGCAUUCCCACAUGUUACGACCCACUGGAGAUGUUUAUGAAAUGAUCCUUUCCUAAGAUCAACAUCGUCUAAUCACCAUUUGGACCGAAGAAGAAAAUUUCUUGAGUACCUCCAAUCCUCACUCAAUGGGAAUUCCUUAAACAAUUGUUAUGUUUCAUUUUCUUUGUAUUAUCUAGAAAUCUCCAGAGUAAUAUGCAAAACUUUAUUUGUGAAGCUAUUUUAGUUUAUCCAUCAUUAUUUCAAUGUAACAUACUUUAUGAAUAAUGGAUAAUAAAUUGAUCUUGAGGAAAAUUAGAGUUUAAAUGAUUUAUCAAAAGAAGAACAAAGGAGAUUAAUCUAGGAAUCUAUCUUUGAGAAGAAAGAGAAUCCAAAGAUAGUAAACAAGACAAAAAUCAAAUGCCUUAGAUAUCGCAGCCUGGGUUUCUAUAUACAAAUUCCAUGAAGACUGUUUUGAGUUUAACAUGUGUUUAGAAGACCCAAAGUACUUUGUUGAUGCCCCGAUAUGUAACAUACUUCACUACUUGUUGACUCCGGUAUAGCAAGGUCAUUGCUGCUCACCAAAAUUUGAGCCGCCCUUUCGGGUUUUCAGCUCAAAACCCCUUUGGUCUUAAGGCGCCCUUUGCGGGUUUUCACAUUGGCCUCUCCAUUUUUCUUUUUUUCCAUUUUUCUUUUCUUUUCUCUUUUUUUUUUGAAAUAGAAGUCUCAAAGCGCCCUUUGCGGGUUUUCACUUUGGCUUCCCUUCAUUUUCAACCAAAAUACUCCUUAAUUGAGUCUGAAUUCACUGUAUUGGGUAAAUCUUUCGCACCACUAGAGGAGGCUUUUUCAGAAUCUAUGGUCUUUCCCAUUUGGUAUCCAUUUUCCUUUGAAAUCUUUUGCAUGGGAAGAAUCUCUUGUAACACAAGUUUCCCUUAAGAAAUUCUUUUGCCCCAGCAAAAAUCCGGGCUGACGUUUGUCAAACAAAGAAAGCGAAUAGUAGCUAGAAUCCAGAAGCUCUAUAUAAAAAUAGUUCAAUGGAGCUGCUGACAUUAUCUUUCAUUCUGGGAAGCUGAAGUACAGAAAUCGCUCCCGGAGUUGUCAUUCCACCAUGGCUUGAUGAUGUUUCUCAAGUAUCUUUAAACUCUAUAAAUUGCUCUAACUAUGAAGUUACCAAAUGAGCUCAGCGAGUAGGGGCCACAACAGAUAUGUCUAUGGCGUUUCUUUGAUAUAGCAUGGACUAGCUCCUACAGAUCAUCAGCCGAAAACCCAAUCUGACCUAAGAGAACAUGAUAAUGAGUAGGUCUCGUGGUUCCAAUCAUUCCAGUAUGGGCAUAAAGAUAGAAGCCAUUGUUCCUAGGAUGAUAGACUUUGUUGUCUAUAACGGUUCCAGGCGAGACAUUGUCAGGAGAUCCCUGCUGAAAAAAAAACUUAGGAUGAUAGAUUUUCUGUGCCACCAUGACCACAAACUUGAGGUUUCAACUCUUAUCAAGAAAUUUGCAAGCCUCAAUUACUUGAUCCAGCUCAAUGUUUAAUUACUUGAUUGAACUGUGACUUGCUAACUCCAUCCCUGAAUAUGAUAAUUUGAUCCGGCUUCCUUUUCCCUAAACUUGUAUAGAAGUCUAAGAAAGCUUUCCUUACGAUACCCUUAUCCACUUUGUCAGAAACUGGUUUGAAGAGAGAAUCUAUCAUUUCAAGCUUCAGAGACUGUGUACGACCUGAUGCCUUAUAACUGGAAAUCAAUGGCCAUUUCAUGAAACUAACCACCAUAGCUAUUGACGGUAUAUCAGACUGCUCAGGAGAGCCAAAUAAUGCAUCCAUUCCAAGGAUGCUAGUUGGAACCUUUGAAACAACUGGAAUUGAAGGUGUUUGCUCAAUUACUAGCAUGGAAUUCAGUUCUCCAAGCUUUGCAUUGAUUUUUAAAAGCAGGUUUGUAAAGCACUGAUCCUUCACCCUAACUAGCACCAUACACUGAGUCAUGAUGCCAUACUUAGACAGAUUGUUCUGCUUCCACAGCCCAUAAAAAAUCAGAGUUUUUCUUAUCGAGAAGCAAACAAAGAAGGAACUGCGGAGCUCCGAGUAUCCAGCACUAUUAUCUACCAAGGCAUCAAUGUGAGGUACAGGAAAACUAGCUUUGUUCCAACUUACAGCCUUUCCUUUCUUUUGAGGCUAUAUCUUUUACCCCCACUUCAUGAGGUAGAAUUUAUUUCUCUUCUUGCUUUACCAUUUUUAACAAAUUUAGAAACAAAUCGCAAUCUCUGUCAUCUUCAGAGUACUGAGAUUCCUCUAAACACAUGUAGCGCUCAAAAGGAACUCUGAAUCUGUAGUAUCGUUGCCCCUGUCAUUGAUAUCUAGGGAUCUUCGAAAGGCACAAAAGAAUAUACAAGGAAUAAAUGAAUCAAGAAUAACUAUUUACGUUAUGAAUGAAGAAAAAAUGAGGGAACAAUUGCUCAAAUUAAUCAUGAAAGAUAUGUUUUAUUGAAACAACAAUGUCUAAACAUGAGCCUAUUUCACAAAUGAAAUCUUAUUGUUUCUAGGCUUUAAAACAACAAGUGUGUUCUGAACAUUACUCUAAAUUAACUUUAAAAUACAAGGAUCAUUUCCACCAUUUCAUUGUCCAAAACAUUCCCAAAUGUGCAAGGGCUCACCAGUUUUAUUCUUUGGUUUCCUCUUCGGAUACAUUAUUCAGAUUCCCCAACAUCAAGUCCUGCUCAAAAGCCCUGAAACCUGGCGCAUUCUUGGAUCCCAUGGAAUUCACCUCUCCAUCUAAAUGGUUAGGUAAUAAAUUUUCUGCCCCAGAGGGAUGAUCAAAGCUUAUAACACCUAUUUUGAUGAGUUUUUCGAUCAUCUUUUUAAAGGCAAUGCAAUUCUCAAUUGAGUGUCCUGUACGUCCCGUAUGAUACUCACAUUGAGUGUUCAAAUCAUACCAUUUGGGAUAUGGGGGUUGCAACGGUUCUAUGUAAAACGGGGACACUACAUGUGCGUCAAAUAAUCUAUGAUAUAGCUCCUUAUACGACACUGGAAUUGACGUAAAGGGAAGCUUUUCAGGAUUUGAUCUCGGAUUGGAUUCUUGCUUUUGAGGAACCUGAUGGCUAGUAGUUGACAUUCUUGGUUGCAUUACAGUCAACAACUUCACCUCAUUUUCUUUUCUCGUCAUUGCCCUCGAGGUAUUGUAUCGGGAGCUCCACUCUUACUUUUUAAGAGCUUCGCACUGUUUCAGACACUCCACACUGGCUUUCCUUGCUUCCCUAAUGAUGACAAGACUGGCUGAAUUGCUCCCCGAGUUAGGACUUGAGCCUACUGAAUUAUUUACUAGUGCCAACAUACCGGCUUGAUGCUGUUGGGGUUUGAUAGUAACUGGUAUCUCUUGUGGAUAUGCGUCUAGUUGAGUCUGGACCCCUAUUGGAGUAAAAUUUGGAGAAUAAACGAUGACCUCAUUAUCAUCUUCAGUGUUGACCACUGGGCUUUUCCUCUUUUCAAGCCCUUCGAUUAGUAACUGUCCCAGCUGGCCAAUUAUAUUUCUUUGGAGCUCCAACAUUUGAUCACGUAUAUCUUGUUGAAUUUUGGUCAACUGCUCUUGCAUCUGUAUUUGCCUUUGCUCCAAUCUCUCCAACCUUUGUUCCAUAUCUCCGAUUAACUCUCUGAAAUAAUUUUUGCCUAAUUAGGGUCUUUUUAUGGACUUAAAUUCAUAUGAUGCGAUGUGAUGUAAUGCAAAUGCAUGAAUGCAAAAAGGUAUCGAUCUAGACUCAAUUUCAUUUAGAAAACUUUAUUUAGAAAAAGAAUAUCUUUACAUAUGAAUGGAUUACAAAUACGCCUUCAUCCUAUGGCCCAAAGUUUUAACUCAACAAAGCUAACUCCUGACCAUGAUCUGACUGUAGCUUGUAUUUCGUGCUCAAUGUAUCAGCUUGUACUUUCAUGGUCCGUAAAUGAUCUAUUACCAUCCCAAAUUUGAGGUAUGGCUUCACCCAUAAAAUAAUCCCUAUAUCUAUGGACACCUCUUCCAACAUCAGUGAAGUUGUUCUGAUUAUCUUGAAAGAAAGAUUGGCAAACAAGUAGGCACUCCUACUUAACAUGCUGCCUUUAAAUGAUAUCCGGCACCUUUAGUAUUUCUUGAGAGCUUUCAGAUUCCUGUCCAUGCAAAGCAUUUUGAAAUGCUUACAUGGGUAUCUUCUCAGCAUAGUUAAUCUCCACUUUAAAGGUCUUUAAAUGUUAUGAUCUUCUUUAAUUUCAUUCUUUUGCGUCCAUUUUGACAUACCAUCAGGGCUUGCAUUUCCAUUGUCUAUGAUAAGUGCAACAUAGUAAACUCAUGCUUGUUGUUUGGUCCUAUAAUAAAUAAACCUUUUACCAUCAUAGGCACAAUUCUUUCCAUCCAACUCACCUUUGUAGGUCCAUGCAUUCUGUCAAUCACUUUCCUUCCAACACUUUUACCAUCAACCAUCUUCAUAUGAAAGAGAAAUGUUGUAAUAGUGGAAAGGUCCAUCAGUAUUCUUCUUGUUCACCUUGAAAUGAUUGGUAAGUACAUUACCUUCUGCGCUUUAGUUCCUGCAGCACGCCUUGCCAUAGGGUAUCGAACAAUCUUCCUCGUAUCCAAUUUUACUUUGAUUGGAAACAACAUUAAAACACACCAGUGGCGGAAGAGGUAGGAAAUCCAAGACUGCCCCUUUUCCUUCUUGCUCUUUCCAUUUAGCUCACUCCCUCUCCCCAUGACGUUCAUCAACUUCCUCAAAAAAGUUGGAAUACAGUCAGCCCUUGAGUAAACUUUAUCAACUUGAAUCAUAGGACAACGCUACAAAAUCGAAUAUUCCUCCACCACGGGUACCAUAUUGGCUUUUCCAAACGUAAAACAACUGUAUGCAAGAUUCCAAUACUAAGUGAUGGCCCGAAACAAAUUCUCGUCUAUCCCAAGUCAAGCAAGUACUGCAAGUCCCCAUGGUUGUUGUAGAACAACUGCUUGGCUUCGCUACCCCAUUGAUCCCAUAUUUCCUUUAACUCAUGCUGAUUAUCUUGUGUGACGCUAAUACGAACGUAGUCUGACAGCUCUGACACAUAUCCCAUGGCUAGACUAUUUUCCUUUCCUAACUGAGUUUACUCUGACCAUAUAUAGACGUUAGCGUUGCCUUCCACUCUAUCAAGAAGUUCAUUCUCCAUAAUAAAACUCUCUAACUUAGAAACUGACUAAAAAUCGAUACCUUUUAAAUGCGAAAUGAUAUGCAACAAAAGAAAGGAAAUAGUUAGUAUCACAUGAUAACAAUAAACUCAAAGAUAACCUACAAGGGUAAUAAUUACGGUAUACUUCUAUCUAGGUCGAGCUUUUACGAUCCUUCUAUAUGUGGUUUAGUUCUAAAGUUGAGGUACCCGAACUAGCAGAUUCCUCGAUCCUCACCCAUUAUAGGCUCAUUCAAAUCGAGUUUAGUUCAGGGGAAUACAUUUCCCUAUGGCUACACGGAGAUGAAAAUCUCACAAAACUAUAGGUACGGAUGUAUCCCGAAAGUAAUCCACUAUCUUGCACGGAGGCGAAAACCUCACGAAGGCGUAGCUUAUCACUCCCACUUAAGGGUGUGACCACAACAGUCAUGCAAAUGCAAUGCAUAUCAGAAUAUAGCAACACAUGCAAUAAUACAAACGCAUGUAAUGCAAAGAGAAUUAAAUUUAAAAUAUUUAAUUUCUAACAUUAAGACAAGAGAUAAUCAAUUACACGGCUUGACUCUCUUAUUAGUCCCCAGUGGAGUCGCCAAGCUGUCGAAACCAUUUUUAAAUCGAGUUUUGGAAAAUAGGAAUCGACUUUUAAAAAACGAAAACGGGAGUCGCCGUCAAUCUUUUUAGGUGUGAUUGGAUCACCUUUAAAACAUUUUAUUUUAAAAUCAUUAGUUUUGGUCUACGAAAUUAGAAAACGAGUUCGGGAGCCGGUUAUGUACGAGGAAGGGUUAGCACCCUCGUAACGCCCAAAAAUUGGUACCUAAUUGAUUAUCAAAAUAUCCUUAAUGUCGGAAAUUUAACAAAAAUUUAAAAUGUAAUCCUCUUUACAAUAUUUUAAUUUUAAAAAUUAGGGUUCACUUGUAUCAAAUGAAUCAAAAUAUUACAUCCAAUAAGUUAGGACGCACUAUUUUAAGACAUUUGAGACUAAGUUAACCAUUUUUGAAAAUCCCUAUCUUGAGACGUCAAAACGUCAUAACCAGUAAGUUUGGACACAACGCUUUGAAAUUUCAAGACUGCUGCUCAUAUUUUGAAAUCCUUUUUUUAAAAAAUUUAGAAAGGUGCUUAACUAUUUGAACUCAAUGAGAAAAGUGGCAACCCAGUAAGUUAGGGCACUACCUUUCUCAAAGUUUCCAAACAUCAAGCAUUGCUUUUAUUUUUAUGAAACUUUUAAAUAUUGUUUUAAAUGACCUUUUAGAGUGACAAUUCUGUAUUACAAAACAUAGAUAUUCAAAUAACGUAUACUACAAAAUAUUAUAACACUUUAUACAAAUGCAAUCACUAUAUAUAAAGGGCAAAAUAGAAUAAUAAAAAUAAUCAUGCUAAGCAAAUAGGAAUAUACCCAAAAAGAAAACAUAAUAAAUGCACUAAUUAUACAAUAUAUCAUAAAUAAAACAUUAGAUAAUAAAUAUAAAAAACAUGGUAAAUAUUAAUGUGUAAAAUAUGUAUGAGUAAAAAUAGAUGACAUGCAAAAAAAAUGGAUAAAUAGAAUCUACGUAUAAAAUAUACAAUCCAAUAAUUUAAUGUACACAUGAAUGGAUUAAUAAAUGAAAUAAUGCAUAUAAUACAAUAUAUCAAUGUACAUAUUCAUAAAAUAUAACAUCAAAUUAAAAAAAAAUAACAUUCAAUACAUAAAUGAUAUAUACAAUAUAAAAAAUAUAUAAAAGAAUUAGUAUAAAUAAUAAAAUGAAUAAUAUAAAACAUAAAUAAUAUAAUAGAUAAUAUACUAUAUACAUAAUAUAUAAUAUAUAAUAAAAAAUAAUAUAAUAAGUAAUAUAUAUAAUAAAUAUAAUAAAUAAAAUAAAAUAUAAAUAUAUAUAGGAAAAUAAUAUAUGAUAAAUAAACAUUUUAUAUAAACAUAUCAAUAGUAUUUUUUAAUAAUAAUAUAUACAUAGAUUUUAAAAUGAAUAAAUUAUAUGUAAAAAAUAACAAAAUUUAAAAUAAUAAAGAAAAGGAGUAAAAUUAAAUUUAAAUGAAACUAUAAGGCUAAUUUAAAAAAUGAAAUAAAUUUAAUUUAAAAAAAGAAAAAAACUGGAAACGGAAAAGGACUAAAAGGAUAAAUAUCCCUUUAGCCGAAGAAAACACGCGGAUCUCUAAAUGGACCGGGUCGGGUAAUCGGGUUGGCCCCAAAACGACGUCGUUUUGAUGCCCUUCUGCACACUACGAAACGGCAUCGUAUAGGGGUGCUUUAAAAACCAAUUUUCUUUCAAAAACUUUCAUUUUCACCUCCUCCUAAAAAAAAAUCAAGAAAAAUGCUCUCGAAAGCCUGCCUGCCCUCUGAGCUCCGAUCGAACUCUGAUCAUCGGGCUUCGCCGUCCUCUGUCGUCUCCGCCACCGUUCACGAUGUUCAGAGUUCCCAAAAGCGAGUUUUACGCUCCUUAAAGCUUCCCAAAGCCUAAUCCGACGGUGAUAUUCCCUUUCCUUUCUAUUUUAAAAGCGCCUUUUGCCUCAAAAACGAUUCAAAUCUUCGAAAUAAAAAAAAUAGAAAAGAGAACGAAAAGUAAUCUCUGAAAAUCACCUUAGAUCUAAUUUUAUUCCUUGUAUAUGUGUAAUACCCGUGUCUGUUUUACACUGUUUUUUGGGUCAAAAAAAAAACCCCCCUUUACAAUGCUUUCCUUCGGCUUUUAUAGCCUUAUACAGUAUUUUUUACAGAUUUCUAUUUCAUUUCUUGCUAUGUUUGUUUCUUUUCUGCUGCUUUUCUUUCUCCUUUUGCAGGUGUUCGUGAGAAUGAUGGCGAGUACUCUGGCUUUGAUACGUGCGCCAAUCUCGGCGCGAUUCAGAACUAGAGUCAUGGCGCUGAUGGGGGCUACUGAAAUGGCGCGAUUUGAAAAGGCGCGUCGUUUGGGAUGGUUGCUGUGUGAAUUCUGGAACCUUUCUUUUGCGGCGCUAAAAGGUGCAGAAAACCCUAGGGUUCCCAAAUUUGAAAGCAGAUUUGGACCAUCGGGCCACAUAGUUUAUUGGGUCUGAUUUGUUUGGGUCGACUUAAUUUAUAUAUUGGGUUUUGUGUGCUUCUGGGUCGAGGGUGUAAAUGGGUCUAUUGGGUAGGUUUAGGCAUUUGGGCUGUUUAUUGUAACUGGACUUUAAAUUCUCACGAGCCCGGGCAGAUUUGGGCUACUACAGUUAUAUCUAAAUAUGAGUUUUAAGUUAUGAUAUUUAAAAUAUUUAUUAAAUACAAUGAAAAUUUUAAGAAAAAAACAUUUCAACAUUUCCAUGGUAUAUUGAUAAGUUUGGAAUUUAAUUAUACCAAAAUCAAUGCUAAAUUAUCUACAUAUAUCGUAGUUGGUUUGACAAAUGCUUACCCUUAAUUCAAAGCCAAUUUAAUGUUAACUUUACUAAAUCAUGAGCUCGACUUUCUCUUCAUUUACAUGCAAAGAUCAAUCAGAUGAAGAGGAAAAAAUAUUUUAAACUCAUAAUCCAGCAAAAUCCAGAUUAUAGGGCCAUUAGUAAUAGAUAACAACCUGUACUUGACAAUGAUCAUUUAACAAAUACUAAUCCUUAAUUGAGAGCUAAAUUAAUAAUGUUGAUUUUACUAAAUUAUGAGUCUAGUUUUCCUUUCAUUGGCAUGCAAUCAUUAGUUGAUGAAGAGAUAAAAACUAGACUCAUAAUCUAGCAAAGUCAGUAUUAUAGGGCUAUUAGCAACGGAUAACAACUUGUACUUGCCAAUGAUCAAUCAACACAUGUUGAUUGAUCUCUCUCUCUCUCUCUAUAUUUUUUGCUUCAAUCAAACUAUUUUGUUUAAAAGUAACAGAAUAGUAGUUCGAGUUAAACAAUACAAUUGUCACAAAAGCUAAUAUAACAUGAAAACCAGACAUUCCAAUCACCAAUCUAACAUUCAUCACCACGCCUUGAACAUAACCCUACGAUUAAUAUCUGUUGUCGCUAAUGUUUCUGCAUUUCAUUGCCAUGCUGCUCUGCUUUUGAAAAUUGCACCUCACCCACACAGGCUAGUCUCCUUUCCAUAUCUGCGAAUGUAGUUUGUUGCAACCAAGGUCUCGUCUUUGUUCAAUAACCAAUUGAGAGCCAAAUUACUGUCGACUUUGCUGAAUUAUGAGCCUAGUUUUCCUUUCCUUGGCAUACAAUCAUUAGUUGCUGAGAAGAAAAAAAAACUAGGCUCAUAAUCCAGCAAAGUCAACAUUAUAGAGCUAUUAACAAUAGAUAACAACUUGUAUUUGCAAAUGAUCAAUCAACACAUGUUGAUUGAUCUCUAAUUGAGAGCCAAUUUAAUGUCGACUUUGCUGAAUUAUGAGUCUAAUUUUUCUUUCAUUUGCAAGCAACGAUCAAUUUAACUAAAUAACUAUGAAGAGAUAAAAAUUAGGCUCAUAAUCCAGCAAAGUCUACAUUAUAGCCAAAUAUUAUUGGCAAUAUCAACCAGCCAUAUUUGUAUAUAUUUCCAAGGGGAUGAUAAAGAGAGAGGUAAGGGGUAGAUGUAUUUAUAGGCUUCAAAGCCUUGAAGAAAGGAAAAUAACACCUUUUAUUUUCAAUAGUUUAUUAUUUUUCCACAAUGGAAAAUUACUGGGUAGUUGGAUCUACUUUUCCUUUCAUUUAUGAAGAAUAAGAUGAGUUGACAUUAAAAUUAUCUAUGAAUGUUUCCAAGAAAUGGACGUAAACUUGUUUCUUUUAUGCCUUGUUUAAGAGAAAGGAAAAUUCGUUUAAAUCUUAUUCUAACUUAAUUCGAUACGACUUCAAGUCAAUCAAAUCUUUAUGGUAAUCUGUAAAUAUAAACUAAUAAUUAUCAAAGGUUAUUUGAGAUGUGAACUUAUAAUGUUUUGGUCUAAUGUGUUCGUUGGAUGUGUGAAAAGCCCCCACUUUUCGCUAUUCAAGGUUGAAAAAUUAUAGGCACGUACCAAGUCAUUUUGCAUGGUUUAAAAAAUAAAUAUUAUAAUAGAUUAUACUCUCAAUUCUAGCUUUUAACAUUUUUAUUUUUAUAACUUUUAAAUUAUUUGUUGAUAGGACAUAUAAUACAAAUGAUGCUAUGUUAACAUGAUAGGUACAUGGAUUACUAUGCAUGUUGUCACGCCAACAACAUUAAAAAUUAAUGUUGUCGAAACCAUUUUUAAAUCGAAUUUUGAAAAAUGGGAAUCGACUUUAAGAAAAACGAAAACAGGAGUCGCCACCAAUCUUUUUAGGUGUGAUUGGAUCACCUUAUAAAAUGUUUUGUUUUAAAACACUAAUUUUGGUCUACGAAAGUCGAGAAAACAGAUUCGGGAGUCGGUUACGUACGAGGAAGGGUUAGCACCCUCGUAACGCCCAAAAAUUGGUACCUAAUUGAUUAUCAAGUGUCUUUAAUGUCGGAAAUUUGAAAGUUUUAAGAUGCAAACCUCUUUUAAUUAGAAUGUCUCAAUUUUGAAAAUUAAGGCUCACUUAUUUCAAACGAGUCAAAACAUCACAUCCAGUAAGUUAGGACGCAACAUUUUAAAACCUUCAAAACUAAGCUCGUCUUUCGAAAAUUUCUAUCUUGAAACAACAAAACGUCAUAUCCAGUAAGUUAGGACACUAUGUUUUGAAAUCUCGAAAUAAUUGUUUAAGUUUUGAAAACUCAAAAUCACUUAGAAGGGUGUUUGACUAUUCGAAUUGAACGAGAAAAGUCGCAACCCAGUAAGUUAGGGCACUACAUUUCUCGAAGUUUUCCAAACAUCAAGCAUUGCCUUUUAUUUUUAAAAAAAAAACCUUGGAAUAUUAUUUUAAAUGACGUUUUAGGAUGACAUAUUAAUGCAUCAUAAAGCAUAGAUGUACAAAAUAUUUAACAUUUCCAUACAAACAUAAAUAAUAUCAUUAAGACAAAACUAAAUAACAUGAACAUACGUUUAAUGAAAAAAAAUCAUACUAGGGUAAAUAUAAGAUAAUAAACAAAUAAAAACAUGAGUAAACUAAAAGAAAAACAUAAUACAUGCAAAAAUUAUACAACAAUAUAUAUCAUAAAAUAGCACAUAAAAGAAAUAAUUAAACAUAGCAUAUAAAAAAUGAAACUAUGCACAAAUAAGAUAAAUGACAUACAAUAAAAAAAUGAAUAAAUAGAACAUUUACAAAUUAUAAAAAUAUAAUGCAAUAGUUCAAAAUACAUGAAAUGAUAAUAUAAUAUAUAUACAUGCGUAGAAAAUAUAUAUUUGAAAAUAAACUAUAUAAAAAGGUUAAAUAUUAUAAUAUAUAAAAUACAUAAUCAAAUGUAUAAAAAAUAGGAAUAAAUAUACAUAUUUGAAAAAUGAAGAAAUUAAAAUAAAAAAAGGUUGAAAAACUAAGAUACACGAAGAAUAAAAUAAGAACAAACCACAGAGAGUAAGAACGCAAGAGGGAAAGAAAUUUGAGUGAAUGCUCUCAAGAAUUCUUAUUGCUUCCCAAAACUCAAGUGAUUUACAAUGAAGGGAGAGGCCUCUAUUUAUAGUUGAGCCUCCCCAAAUCCAACGGUACAGAUCAAUUACAUCAAUGGUUAAGAUUAAAGGAUAUCUACAAAUUAAAUCUCUAAGAUUACAAUGUCAUAUCUUCAAGAUUGCAUAUCAUAUCCAAGAUUACAUAUCAUAUCUAAGAUUGUAUCAUAUCUAAGAUUGCAUAUCAUAUCUAAGAUUGCAUAUCCUUAAAGAUUAUAUUUCCAUAUGAGCCAAGCUUGUAGAUGGACCUUAAAUAUUUUCAAGUAAUGGGCCAUUCCGAUUGGGCCAAAUUAUAUGUUUGUAAUUUUGUACUGGACUUUGUUUUAUUUUUAUUUUUUGAGGGUUUAUUAUUUUAAAUACUGAAAUGGGCCGGGCAAAAAUGGGCUAUUACAGCUGCCCCUCUUUGCUCAUUGUCGUGUAACGAGAAUAGAGCAAAGACUAUAAAAGGACCCAUUUUGUCCGGUCUCAUCAGCUUCAGACUUCAUGGUCUUCAAUUUGCUCCUUACAAACUCAGGAUUGUCAUAUUGAUAUCUUCAAUCUGCUCUCUGUCGAACACAGAGACGCCAAAUCUGCUUCUUCAAUUUGUUCCCUGACAAUAUAGAGAUGUCAAAUCAUCUUAGAUUUGCUCCAGCAUAAACACGUGAAAGCCAAAUCUGCUAUGUCUUCGAUUUGUUCCUUGUAAACACAAGGAUGCCAAAUCAUCUUGGAUCUGCUUCAGUAUAAACAUCUGAAGGUUAGAUCUACUAUGUGUCUGCUCUCCGUCGAAUAUGGAGACGCCAGAUCUGUUAUCUUGGAUCUGCUUUGAUGUGAAAACAUUUGAAAGUCAGAUCUGCUAUGUCUUCGAUUUGCUCCUUGUAAACACAAGAAUGCCAAAUCAUCUUGGAUCUGCUUCAGUAAAAACAUCUGAAGGUUAGAUCUACUAUGUAUCUGCUCUCCGUUUGAAUAUGGAGAUGCCAGAUCUGUUAUCUUGGAUCUACUUUGAUGUGAGAACAUCCGAAAGUCAGAUCUGCUAUGUCUUCAAUUUGUUCCUUGUAAACACAAGAAUGCCAAAUCAUCUUGGAUCUGCUUCAAUAUAAACAUCUGAAGGUUAGAUCUGCUAUGCUUUAGCCUGUUAUCCUACUGCUUAGGGGAUUAAGGCGGGUCUUCGUCGAUCUGCUCCGCUAUUGCUUAGGGAGAUAAGAUCUGCAAACCUGUUACCCUACUGCUUAAGGGAUUAAGGCGAGUCUUCGAUCUGCUCCACUACUGCUUAGGGAGAUAAGAUCUGCAAAUUUAACCUGUUACCCUACCGCUUAGGGGAUUAAGGCGAGUCUUCGAUCUGCUCCACUACUGCUUAGGGAGAUAAGAUCUGCAAAUUUAACCUGUUACCCUUCUGCUUAGGGGAUUAAGGCGCUGAAUUUUGUAAUUUUCAAUCAAUCUUGCUACAUUGUCCACUGGGGAAUCCACCUGUAGAAUUGAUUUCCUGGAAUUUAUGCUUAUGCCAAAUAAUUAAGAUGCCAUGAUCGAAAUGAGUCAAAUGCUCCUAAUUAGACAUAUUAUGAUGCAAAAUGUUUAUGAAAAUAACUUCUAUUUCGGACGUGAUCAUUCAUUCAUCUAUCGAGCUUUUCCACCUCUUUCUUCUCGACAUAUCAAUCAUACUCUACUCGUAUGCCUCGAAUCUUCUCCAUCAAUUUGGUCUACCGUACCAUUCCUCAAAUGUUACGACCCACUGAGAAUAUCUGUAAGAUGAUCUUUUCUUAGAAUCGAAUCGUUUGAUUUGUCCAAUCAUCAUUUCGGACUGAAAUAAAGAAAUUUCUCAAGUUCUUUCAACCUUCACUUACGUGAAUUUCUCGAACAAUUGUCCUGUUUUAGUUUCUUGUAUUAUCUAGAAAUUUCCAGAGUAAUGCGCAAAACUUCAUUUGUGAAAAUUAUUUAGUUCAUCUAUCACUAUUUCAAUGCAACAUACUUUAAGAAUAAUAGAAGAUGAAUUAAUCUUGAGAAUAAUUAGAUUUGAAUAAAUUUGUCCAAAAUACAAGGGAAAUUAAUCUGAAAGCCUAUCUUUGAGAAGAAAUAGAAUCUAAAGAUAGGAAACAAGACAAAAGUUAGAUGCCCUAGAUAUCGCCGCUUGAACGUCUAUACACCAGCAACAUGAAGUCUUUCUUGAAUUCAACAUGUGUUUAAAAGAUCCAAAGUACUUUGUUGAUGCCCCGAUAUGCAAUGUGCUUCACUCUUCUUUGAAUCAGAUAUAGCAAGGUCACUGCAUGACUUUCCAAAUUUGAGCUGCCCUUUCGGGUUUUCAACUCAAAACCCCUUUGGUCUCAAGGCGCCUUUUGUGGGUUUUCACCUUGGCCUCUCCAUUUUUUCUUUUAUUUUUUUUUCUAUUUUUUCUUUUUCUUUUGAAAUAGAAGUCCCAAAGUGCCCUUUGCGGGUUUUCACCUUGGCUUCCCUUUUCCUUCAGACAAAUACUCAUUGACUGAGUCCGAAUUCACUGGAUCAGAUAAAUUCUUUCUAUCCAUUUCUUGUCAAAAUUAGUGCACCUCUAGAGAAAGCCCCCUUCGUAACAUAUGGCCAUUCCCAAUUCGGCAUCCUUUUGCAUGGGAAGGAUCUCUUUCAACACAAAGUUUUCUUUAUGAAAUUCUUUUGGACGAACCUUCUUUGUCAUAAGUCUGUGUCAUCCAUUCUUAGUACAUUUGCUUAGGAUGAAUACUUUCAAGUUAAGUUUACUAGAGGUAUUCAAUUCUUCACUCUAUCAAAGCUUAGGGGAAAAAUCUUGAUUCAUAAACCCAUGAGAAAGGGAUUGCCCCAACAGCAGUCCUGACUGUUGUUUGUCAAACCCUACAAAAAGAUGGUUCAAUGAUUCUCAACAGACAAGAAUGAAGUUGCUGACUUUAUCCUUCAACCUGGAAAGCUGAGAUACAGAGAUUACUCCCGGAGCAUACAUUCCAACAUGACUCGAUGAUAUUUUUGAAGCAUCCCUAAUCUUCAUAAAUUGCCCCCAACUAUGAAGCUACCAAAUGAGCGUAGCAAAUAGGAGCCAUAAAAAAUGUGGUUGUGGUGCUCCUUUGAUACAUAUAGGAUAGAGACUGAACAAACUCUUGUAGAUCAUCAGCCAAAAACCCAGCCUGGUCUAAGAGGACAUGAUAAUGGGUCUGCCUCGUGAUUCCAAUCAUUCUAGCAUGGGUACCAAGGUAAAAAUCAUUAUUCUUUGGAUGGCAUACUUUGUUUUCAAUGACAGUACCAUGUAGCACAUUGUCAGGAGAUCCCUGCUGAAAAAACUUGAUAUGAUGAUUUUUUGUACAACAAUAACCACAAUCUUUAGGGUUCCACUUCUCGUCAAGGAACUUGCAAGCCUCAAUAACUUGAUCAAAACUUGAUUGAAUUGAGACUCGCUAACCCCAUCCCUGAAAAUAAUGAUUUGAUCAGGUUUCCUCUUCCCUAAACUUGUAUAGAAGUCUAAGAAAGCUUCCUUCAUGAUACCGUCAUCCACUUUGUCAGAAACUGGUUUUGAAGAAAGAAUCUAUCAUUUUAAGCUUCAGAGACUGUGUACGGCCUGAUGCCCCAAGCUGGAAAUCAAUGGCCACCUCCUAGAGCUAACCAUUGCAGCUAUUGACGGCACAUCAGACUACUCAGGAAAGCCAAACAAUGCACCCAUUCUAAGGAUGAUGGUUGGAACCUUUGAAACAAUGGGAAUUAAAGGUGUUUGCCCCAGCGUAAGCAUAGAGAGUAGGCGGUAGUUUCUUAUGCCAAUUUUUACCAGUCUCGGUCAUCUUCUGUAAUUUUUUUCUUCUUUUUAUUUUUUUUGGCAACCUUUGUUAUUCUGUGGUAUGGCGCAUUAUCUUUGAAAAGACUUCAAACUUUUGGCAUUGUGCAGUUAUAUAUAAUCUUUUUUUUUCCGAAAUGGAUGACUUUUGACUUUGUAAUAUUGGCAUAUAAAGCUAUCUCCCCCUCUUAAUGGAAUAGUUGACGUCCACAAAGAUGAGUCAUUGUCAGCUUGAAACUUUUGACGAGCUCGGGCCUAUAACAUACAUGCCCCAUAAGUCUUGACUCCUUUAAAUUUGGCAUUCAUUGUACAACUGAUGCGAUCCCUUUCUAUGGUGGACCAACAGUGCCCCAAAACCUCAUGUUUAUCCUGGCAAUUGCAAAUCCUCCUGCAUACGUCUUUGGACCAUAUUUUUGAAUUCCGAUAAUAGUUUCAACAAGGUCUUGUUUUGUCUCCUCAGCUAAUGCCAAUUUCGCAAUCUUUCCUUCCUCUAAGGCUAUAUUUCCUACCACCACUUCAUGGGGUAAAAACCAUUUUCAACAAAUUCAGAAACAAGUCAAAAUUUCUGUCACCUUCAAAGUACUGAGAUUCCUUUAAACACAUAUCGCACUCAAAAGGAACUCUAAAUCUAUAGUAUCGUUGCUCGUGUCAUUGAUAUCUAGGGAUCUAUAAUAGGCACACAAAAGAAUAUACAAGGAAUAAAUGAAUUCAAGAAUGACUAUUUACAUGAAAUGAAAAUUUAUAAAGAAUGUCAAAGGUCAAAAGAAUCAGAAUGAAAGAAUAUUUACUCGGAUAAAUAAUAAAAGUAUGUUUUAUUGAAAAUAAAAAUGUCUGAAUAUGAGCCCACUUCUCAAAAGAAAUCUCAUUACUCCUAGGCUUUAGAGCAACAAGAGUGUUCUGAAUAUUACUCCGUAAAAUUCCUAAAGAUUACAGGAAGUUCUUCUGCAGUCCAAUUGUUUAAAGAACUUCCUGGUUCGUAAGGGCGAAUGCCCUCAAGGUUUCUUUGUUCAGUCCCUUCCUCAUAUAUGACAUUGAUAGGAUGAUUUUCAUUUCCAAAUACCCCCUUCUUCGGGUAAGCUAUCCCUCCUGACACAAAAGUCGGGGAUAUGUAAGGGAACGUCGUUAAUUCCCAUUCAACUUCUUUUUCACUUAGCCGCGACCCUCUUCUCUCUCUCUCUUUUUCUUUCUCUUUUUAAUAACUUUAACUAAUUAGGGUCUUUUUGUAAUUUUGAAUGCAAAUGAUGCAAUGAAAUGCUAUAAGAUGCAAAUGAAUGCAAAAGGUAUCGAUCUCGAUUCAAUCUCAUUUAGAAAACUUUAUUAAGAAAAAGAAUAUCUUUACAUAUAAAUGGAUUACAAAUACGCUUUCGCCCUAAUGCCUAAAGUUUUAACAACAAAACAAACUCUUGGCCACGAUCAGAUUGUAGCUCAUAUUGGUGCUCAAUAUGUCAGCCUGUGCCGCCAAUGUCUGUAAAUAAUCAGCUGCCUCCUGAGUUUGAGCUACGACCUCACCUGUGGUGUAAUUCGUGCAGCUAAGGGCACCUCCUCCAAUACCUGUGAAGUUGUUCUGAUUAUUUUGAGAUAGAUUAGCGAACAGGUAGGUAUCCCGUUCUGCAGUGUGCUACUUUAAAAUAAUAUCCUAUAUCCUCAAUGUUUCUUGAGAGCUUUCAGAUUUCUACUCACGCAGAGCAUCCUGCCUCGGUACCUUCGCAGCAUAGCUAAUCUCUAAAGGUCUUUUUUAAUCGCUUUCUUUCACACUUAUUUGAGCUAUCCAGGCCAUCGGGGUUGCAUUUCCAUUGUUUCUGAUAAGUACAACAGUAAAUUCAAGCUUGUUGUUUGGUAGCGGUCCUAUAAUAAACGAGCUUUUUACCAUCAUAGGCAAAAUUCUUUCCAUCCAACUCAUUUUUGUAGGUCUCAUGCACUCUAUCAAUCACUUUCCUUCCAAUACCCUUACCAUCCACAUGGCAACCAUCUUCAUAUGAAAGAGAAAUGCUAUAAUGGUAGAAGUGUCCAUCAAUACUCCCACACUCACUUUGAAUUUCUCAUCUAUCCUCCUGUCAAGUAAAUACUGCAAGUCCCCUUAGUUAUUGUAGAACAACUGCUUGGCUUCAUUACUCCAUUGAUCCCAUAUUUCCUUUAACUCCUGGAGAUUAUUUUGCGCCACGCUGAUGCGAAUGUAACCCCAUAAUUCUGAUGUGUAUCCUUCAGUGUUUCCUUUGACCAUUUAUGGACGUUAACGUUGCCCUCCAUUCUAUCAAGAAGUCCGUUCUCCAUAAUAAAACUUUCUAACUUAGAAACUGACCGUGAAUCGAUACCUUUUAAAUGCAAAAUGACAUGCACAAAAGAAAGAAAACAGUCAGUAUCAUAUGAUAUUAAUAAACACAAAGAUAACCUAAGUAUAAUUCUAUCUAUAUUGAGCUCUUACGGUUUUUCUAUAUGUGGUUUGUUUCUAAAGUUUGAGGUAACCGAACCAGCAGAUUCCUCGAUCCUCACCCAUUAUAGGCUCAUUUGAAUCGAGUUCAGUUCAGGGGAAUACAUUUCCCUAUGGCUACACGGAGAUGAAAAUCUCACAAAACCAUAGGUACGGAUGUAUCCCGAAAGUGAUCCACUAUCUUGCACGGAAGCGAAAACCUCACGAAGGCGUAGCUUCUCACUCCCACUUAAGGGUGUGGCCACAACGGUUAUGCAAAUGCAAUGCGUAUCAGAAUAUAGCAACACAUGCAAUAAUACAAACACAUGUAAUGCAAAGAGGAUUAAAUUUUAAAAUUUUUAAUUUUCGACAUUAAGACAAGAGAUAAUCAAUUACACGGCUUGACUCUCUUAUUAAUCCCCAGUAGAGUCGCCAAGCUGUCGAAACCAUUUUUAAAUCGAGUUUUGGAAAAUGGGAAUCGACUUUAAGAAAAAUGAAAACGGGAGUCGCAACCAAUCUUUUUAGGUGUGAUUGGAUCACCUUAUAAAUUUUUUUGUCUUAAAACACUAAUUUUGACUACGAAAGUUGAGAAAACGGAUUCGGGAGUUGGUUACGUACGAGGAAGGGUUAGCACCCUCGUAACGCCCAAAAAUUGGUACCUAAUUGAUUAUCAAGUGUCUUUAAUGUCAGAAAUUUGAAAGUUUUAAGAUGCAAACCUCUUUUAAUUAGAAUGUCUCAAUUUUGAAAAUUAAAGCUCACUUAUUUCAAACGAGUCAAAACAUCACAUCCAGUAAGUUAGGAUGCAACAUUUUAAAACCUUCGAAACUAAGCUCGUCUUUUGAAAAUUUCUAUCUCGAAACAACAAAACGCCAUAUCCAGUAAGUUAGGACACUAUGUUUUGAAAUCUCAAAAUAAUUGUUUAAGUUUUGAAAACUCAAAAUCACUUAGAAGGGUGCUUGACUAUUUGAAUUCAACGAGAAAAGUCGCAACCCAGUAAGUUAGGGCACUACCUUUCUCGAAGUUUUCCAAACAUCAAGCAUUGCCUUUCAUUUUUUAAAAAAAAAACCUUGGAAUAUUAUUUUAAAUGACGUUUUAGGAUGACAUAUUAAUGCAUCAUAAACCAUAGAUGUACAAAAUAUUUAACAUUUCCAUACAAACAUAAAUAAUAUCAUUAAGACAAAACUAAAUAACAUGAACAUACGUUUAAUGAAAAAAAAAUCAUACUAGGGUAAAUAUAAGAUAAUAAACAAAUAAAAACAUGAGUAAACUAAAAGAAAAACAUAAUACAUGCAAAAAUUAUACAACAAUAUAUAUCAUAAAAUAGCACAUAAAAGAAAUAAUUAAUCAUAGCAUAUAAAAAAAAUGAAACUAUGCACAAAUAAGAUAAAUGACAUACACUAAAAAAAUGAAUAAAUAGAACAUUUACAAAUUAUAAAAAUAUAAUGCAAUAGUUCAAAAUACAUGAAAUGAUAAUAUAAUAUAUAUACAUGCGUAGAAAAUAUAUAUUUGAAAAUAAACUAUAUAAAAAGGUUAAAUAUUAUAAUAUAUAAAAUACAUAAUCAAAUGUAUAAAAAAUAGGAAUAAAUAUACAUAUUUGAAAAAUGAAGAAAUUAAAAUAAAAAAGGUUGAAAACUAAGAUAGACGAAGAAUAAAAUAAGAACAAACUACAAAGAGUAAGAACGCAAGAGGGAGAGAAAUUUGAGUGAAUGCUCUCAAGAAUUCUUAUUGCUUCCCAAAACUCAAGUGAUUUACAAUGAAGGGAGAGGCCUCUAUUUAUAGUUGAGCCUCUCCAAAUCCAACGGUACAGAUCAAUUACAUCAACGGUUAAGAUUAAAGGAUAUCUACAAAUUAAAUCUCCAAGAUUACAAGAUCAUAUCUUCAAGAUUGCAUAUCAUAUCCAAGAUUGCAUAUAUAUCUAAGAUUGUAUCAUAUCUAAGACUGCAUAUCAUAUCUAAGAUUGCUUAUCCUUGAAGAUUAUAUUUUCAUAUGAGUCAAGCUUGUAGAUGGACCUUAAAUAUUCUCAAAUAAUGGGCAUUCAGAUUGGGUCAAAUUAUAUGUUUGUAAUUUUGUACUGGACUUGGACUUUGUUUUAUUUUUAUUUUUUAGGGGUUUAUUAUUUUAAACACUGAAAUGGGCCGGGCAAAAAUGGGCUAUUACAAAUGUUUUAGUCAACAUUUUCAUUUUAAAAAAAGGUGAUUUGAUUCUUUUUUGAAAGGUUAAAGAUCAAAUUUAACCUAAAACAAAUAAAGGUCAAAUUGACGAAAAAUAUAAAUGUUAAAAGUAAAAUUUAGCAUUAUGCCUAGAUUGUAGUAUACUCCCGAUAUUAUCGUGGGUAAGAAAAUGUAAUAAAUUCAUAAAAAAAAUUGAUAUACCUAUAAUCUAUAUAUAUGGGUAAACUAUAGAAUUAAUCACCCAGCUAUUAGAGUGUUUCUAUUUUCACUCAACAAUGAAAUAUUUCAAUUUAGUCACUAACAUUUUAGAUAAUUACUAUUUUGGUCAUUCACAUUUUAGAUAGUUUUUAAUUUGGUCAUUCUCUAUUAAAUGGUUAACGGAAGUGAUGAUGUGGUCUUUUUUGAACUGAUAUAACAACACAUUUAGUUCUCAAUACUUACACACUCUAUCAAUUUGGUCACUCUCUCGCAUCAAUAUUCUCGCUUUUUUCUUAGUCAACAUCCAAACCCUGUUUAAGUUGAACUUAGGUACACCUCUCAGUAGUUGUUUAGGCCUAAGAUAAUAUAUAAAGUUGAUGGUUAUUUUUAAAAAAUAAUGAUUAAAUUGAUCCAAUAUGUAAAAAUUGAAUGCUGAAUUUAUUAUUAUACCAAUUUUUGAACUACCACCUCACCUUAAUAUCAAAUGUUGCAUGACACUUAACCAAAAUAAACUAAAAGAACCCAAUUAGUUGUGUGACCACUUUAAAAGUUUUAAAAUUUUGAUGAUCGAAGAAAAAACUUAAGCAUAAUUAGGUGACCUCUAAUGUAAUUUACUCGGAAAAAAAUGUAAUUAUAAACAUCCCAUCAAAGAAUUUAAUAAAAAGAAUGUACCAACUCCUAAGACUUCCACAACCUUUUCACAUGCCAAAUCACCAGCUUCCCGUAAUCUAAUUAAUUAAUUAUAGAGUUGCGGGGAUGGGUCUUGGUGAAAUAAGGGUGAAGAGAAUUCAAGGAAACCAUUUUCUUAUUGAAAUCCCAGAUGAUGAACUUUUUGAAAUUUUGAAGCAAAGAGAAUGGUCGUAUUUGAAGGAAUUCUUCAUCCAUAUUGCAUCUUGGACAGAAAAGUUGGUCUUUACAGAGAGGGUUGCAUGGAUUGAAUUAUCAGGGGUGCCUAUGCACUGUUGGAACUAUGAAAUAUUUAAAAGAAUCGCUGGAAAAUGGGGUACGUUGGUGUCGAUGGGGGAAAAUUGGUCAAGUGCGAAUAAUUAUGAGAAAGUCGAAAUGCUGGUUUCAAUUUCACAAGUUCAAAAGUUGGAUGAGACAGUGUUGUUGGAGGUGGGAGAGGUUAGAUUUUCGGUUAGUAUUAGGGAAAAAGGAUGGUCAGAGGUUCACAAAAUCAAAGAUAGCCUUUCGAAGAGAGGGAAAAUUCAGGGGUGGCUGUGGAAAGUGUAUCAGAAUCGGAAUCAGUGAUUGGUCUGGAAUCGGAGAAGUGGACGACUGGAAUUCGAAACGUUUCAAUGGAUGGUAUUAAGAAAAAAAGUUAUUGAAAAUAAAAGUGCAGGGAAAAAAUGUCAGAAAAUGCUGGUGGAAUUUAACAAAGGUGAUAAUGAUGCUGUAAGCAUGGGACGGGUAGCAGGUGAUAAGUUAGGUGCUGAUGGAAAUAAUAGUUGGUUGGAUCGGGUGAGAGAGGAUUUCGUUAACAUGGGUUUAACAUAUGGGGGUCAAGAUGGUCUGAUGGAUCCUGAAGUAGGAUUGGGCUCUUACAGUAUUGAAGGGUAGCAUUUGAAUGGGGGUUGUAUUACGGACGCAAAUCAACUUUCCCCUAUUUUUUUUGAAAUUCCAGAGAUUAAGGGUCGGGUCUUUUGUCAGGAAAUUGAAGAGGAAUUUUUAAAUGCAAUCAGAAAUAGGAUGAAGAAGAAACAUUUCAACAAGAGGAUUUGUUCCAUGCGGGACAUUCAAGAUAAAAUGUUGUCUUCUAAAGAAAAACUUAAGAGGGACCGAGGCGAAAAGAAGGAUAAGAGUGUUAAAUAUGACUCCUAUUUUCAGUCAAAUUUGAAAAAUAAUCUUUCAGUUAAACUCUGUUUACUUGUUUCAAUCAAACACUGAUUAGUUUAGAUUAUUUUAUUAUUAUUUGACUUAUGAAUGUAGCCUAUAAAUAGGCUCUUUUACAACAUUAGAAAAUAUGCCCAUUAAAGAUUAGAACUCAUAACACAUUUAAAUAAUUUUGUGUUUAUGUUUUGUGGGUUCUUUAUUUUCGGGUUUUUGAGGUUUAGUUUUUUUUUAUCUCCAUCUUUUGUACUCUUCGUUCUUUUGUCGUUAUAGUAAAAUUAUCUUUGCCCGUGGUUUUUUAUCCUCUUUGGAGGGGUUUUUCCACGUUAAAUUUGUGUGUUCAAUUUCUUAAUUUUUUCCACUAUUUUAUUGUUCGUUACUUAAUCGGGUUGAAAUCCUAACAAGUGGUAUCAAAGCUAGUUCAAUUUUCAUAGAUCAACUCGUUCAGAGAUGGCAACAACAAGGUUUGAAAUUGAGAAGUUCGAUGGUGAGACAAAUUUCAAUAUGUGGCAAGUUUGGAUGAUGGAAAUUCUAGUUCAAUCCGGUUUGAAAAAGGUUGUUACUGGGAAAAAGCCUGAGAAUCUAAAUAAAAUAAAAUGGGAAGAGCUUGAUGAAAAGGCUUUGUCUGUAAUCCAGUUAUGCCUCGCGAAUACGGUAUUACAGGAGGUAUUGCUGGAGAAGACCUCAUCCGCCUUGUGGAAAAGGUUAGAAACUCUUUAUGCGACUAAGUCUCUAGCUAAUCGUUUAGUAUUGAAACAACGUUUAUUUACGUUUCGCAUAAACGAAGGUGAGCUUCUUAAAGAUCACAUCAGUCAAUUUAUUACUCUUUUAAAUGAUUUAAAGAAUGUUGAGGUUCAUAUUGAUGAUGAAGAUCAGGCUAUGCUAUUAUUGUGCUCUUUACCCCCUUCAUACAAGUCUUUCAAGGAGACCUUGAUUUAUGGCAGAGACAAACUCUCGUUCGAAGAUGUGAAGGGUCAUUUGUUGAGUAAAGACAAACUCAACAAUGAGCUUCAUUUGGAUAGCAAGACAGAUAGGCAAGCUUCCAUUUUGGUAGCAUCAAAGAAACGAGAUAAAAGGUGUCACUAUUGUAAAAAGUUAGGUCACGUCAAAGCAGAUUGUUAUAAACUGCGAAAUAAAAAAACUGUUGAGAGUAACGAGGAAGAUGUAGUUGGUGCUAAUUUGGCUGAUGAAAAUGGUGAUGAUUUCUUGUUAGUGUCAACAAGUGAUAACAAGAAGCUCACGUCCGAGUGGGUCCUAGAUUCAGGAUGUUCUUUCCACAUGUGUCCCAAUAGAGAAUGGUUCUCCACAUACAGUUCGAUUGAAACUGGAGUUGUGCGCAUGAGAAACGAUUCAUCUACUAAGGUAAUUGGUAUUGGUACUGUUAAAAUUAAGAUGCAUGAUGGGACGAUUAGGACACUCUCAGAUGUCAGGUAUGUACCUGAUUUACGAAAGAAUCUCAUCUCUUUAAGUAUUUUAGACUUGAAAGGAUGCAAAAUCAACAUCGAGUCGAGCAGCAUUAAAGUAUCUCGUGAAGCUCUCGUUUUGUUAAAAGGUAAAAGAACCGGCAGUCUUUAUAUUCUGGAAGGUUAUACAGUGACCGGUGAAAUCGGACGUCCCUCGUCUGUUACGGAGUUGAAGUCAACUUGUUUGGAGCGGAUGCAACUUGGUCAUAGGAGGGAAAAAUGUAUGACUAUUUCAUUAAAGAGAGGUUCUCUUUUGGAUGCAUGUUUUGAAAAGUUAAGGCACUGUAUUCGUGAAAAUUAGAUCUGGAUUAGUUUUGAUUUGACAGUGUACAAGUCGAAGGCUAGAAGUCUUCUAGUUUCUAAGCACAAAUUCGACUCAGUUAAUUCCUUACAUAGUUCAAGAUAGGCUCGUGGCGGGCUAUGGAAAAGAUGGUGUUGUGGAAAUAUGAGUCAAGGUGGAGAUUUGUUAAAUACGACUCCUAUUUUCAGUCAAAUUUGAAAAAUAAUCUUUUAGUUAAACUCUGUUUACUUGUUUCAAUCAAACACUGAUUAGUUUAGAUUAUUUUAUUAUUAUUUGACUUAUGAAUUUAUCCUAUAAAUAGGCUCUUUUACAACUUUAGAAAAUAUGUCCAUUAAAGAUUAGAACUCAUAACACAUUUAGAGAAUUUUGGGUUUACGUUUUGUGGGUUCUUUGUUUUCGAGUUUUCGGGGUUUAGUUUUUUUAUCUCCAUCUUUUGUACUAUUCGUUCUUUUGCCAUUAUAGUAAAAUUAUCUUUGCCCGUGGUUUUUUAUCCUUUUUGGAGGGGUUUUUCCACGUUAAAUUUGUGUGUUCAAUUUCUCAAUUUUUUUCGCUAUUUUCUUGUCCGUUGCUUAAUCGGGUCAAAAUCCUAACAAAGGACAUCAGGAGAGGAGAAAAUCGUGAAUAUCUCCUUGUCUGAUUCGGACAUUAGUAACAGGAGGAAGGUUAUUCUUAAGGAGGUUAAACAGACUUGGGAGUUAGGUAAGAAGUUGGGGCUUAGAGUAAAAGGGGACGAAACAGAUGUCAUUGAGGACAUUUUAAGACUCGAAGUUCAACAGUAAUGGAGACAGGGGAUUAUCAAAAUCAUAGCAAUUACAGGGUUAUGGUGUGCUGAAGGGUAGGAAGGGGUGUUGAUUAAUGUUUAUGCGCCUAAUAUGUUGAGGGAGCAGAAAAUUUUUGGGAAGAAAUGAUCAAAAUUCGGGAGCAAUUCACAAAUCACUGGAUUGUGGGUGGAGAUUUAACGCUACUCGGAAUAAGAAUGAACGAAGCAAUUGUGUAUGAUUAUUAAGAGGUUUGAAAGAAUUUGGGAUUUUCAUAGAGAAAUGUCACUUAGUGGAUUUGCCAAUGUUUGGGAAGAAAUUUACUUGGUUCGGCCCAGUAAAUAAGAGAAGUAGACUGGACAGAUUUUGGUAAAUGAAGUUUGGUUUGUAAAUAAUGUGGACUUGUUAGAUGAAGAUUUUUGUUAGAUGAAGAUUAUUAUGGAUUCAUGAUCGUAAAGGUGUGUUCUCAGUGAAAUAUUUAUUGAAUGGUUGCUGAGUGUUGGGGGGUUGGUUUUAAGCUUUGAUUUUGAAAAUUUUGGAAAUUAAAAGUGCUCCCUUGUGUGAGAAGUUUUAUAUAGAUGAUUUCAAUUGAUCAUCUUCUUACGAGGGAGUUUCUCAUUUGAAGAGGUGUGAAGAUUGACCAAUUGGGGGACGGGUGUCCUUGGUGCUGUAGAGUACCAGAGACUACGAUGCAUCUUUUCUUCCAUUGUUAUUUUAUUUGAAAGUUUCUGGAAAAAAAUUUUGAUUGGUGGGGGGUGAAAUGGAGAUCUUUUGAUGAUUUCCCUGAUUUUUUCUUAUUCUGUAUUAGUGUAUAGUUUUUAGGUGUGGUUAAAAGUUUAUGGUUGAUAUCGAUGUCAUCAGAUUGUUGGUCGGUGUCGUUAGCAAGGAAUGAGCUGGUGUUCGAUUUAAAGUGACCAAUUGUCCAGCUUGGUUUUUUUUCAAAGACUCGGGCUUUGAUGUGGAUUAGGUCUGUGUAUGAAGAAUUGUAAGUGGAUGAGAGAAUUUGGUGGGUUUGUCCAUAUCGAAGUUGGUGUAAUUUUAAAGAAGUUGGUUUGAAUGGAAAGUUUUGGUGUCCUCCGUGUUAUGCUGGGGUUAAAUUCAAUGUUUGUGGUGUAGCGUGUGAGGAUGAAGGCGGGUGUAGAGGGGUGUUAAGAUGUUCGGAUGGGGUGGCAAGGGCCUUAUUUUCUGGUCCGUUUAAAGCGAUAGACUCCCUUGCCAUAGAGGUGGGGGCGAUUAGCAUUGCCUUGGAUAGGUUUUUAGAGUUGGAAUGGAAAGGUUAAUGCGCUUUAUUCAUUGAGGUUGGUUCAAUGAAGGUUCUUAAUUGGUUGGAGAAUUAAGGUUAAGGUUCUUAAGAAAGUCGAUUUAAGGUUGUCAUUAAUAGGAAUUGUAACCUUUUUGUUUGCGGACAAGAGUGGGAAUAAGUUAGCUUUUGCGCUGGCGGUUGCUGAUGUGAAAAGGCAAGACUUGUUUAAGGCAUGGUGGAGACUUAAUGGGUUAAGUGGUUGGGUACUUGCUGUAAUAUUUUCAGGAUUGUGUGGUGGUUUUUCUGGGCGAAUUGUGUUGAUCUAUUUAUGCUUUGUGGUCUGUUUUACUGAUGGGGUUCAGUGGGGUUUUUGUGGUUUAUUUUGUUGUAUUUUGUCUGUGUUUGGUUUUUGAGGUUUUUGUGGUCUGUGUUUGGUUUUUGUUUUUUGCUGGGAUUAUUUUGUUUUGGUAGCUUUGCCUUGUUUUGCUACAGUUCUUUAAACUGCUAUACUUCAAUUAAGCGAAAAUUGAGUUGGGUUUGAAGGUGGUUUAUAACUGGAUUUUGGAGAAAACAAGGAGACCUUCGUCGCAUCAAGUUUCAUUUGUAGCUCUUGAUAGGAGGAUUGUAUGUGUGGGCGAGCUGUCAUUUUUCAAUUGCUGAAAUGAAUGGAAAUGAAAUGGCAGUGUCAAUAGCUUCUGUUGGAAUGAGUUGACUUAGCAUGUUUAAGGCUUGGUGGUUAUUUUGGUUGAGAUUUUUGUUGUUAAAGGGUCUGGCUGCUGUUAAUUUGUUGCAGGUUUUUUUUGUUUUUUGUAAUCUAUGUGUAGCAGAAGUUAUAGGGGAGUUUGGGUUUUGUGGUGUUUUUCGUGGUUUUUUUAGGUGGGCUGCAUGUCAAGGGUAUUAUUUGCUUUGCCUGUUGUUAUGGCAAUUGCAUGUUUGUAAUUGCCUUGCUGAGCGAAAAAGUACCCAUGGCCUUUUCCUUCCUGUCCAUUCAAAAUUACCAAACAGAUCGAAUGAGUUUUCCCUUUUCUUGUAAUCUUCUAAAUAUUAGUGGGUCCAAUUCAUAAAAUAAUCCAUUUUGAACAAAAUUAUUUAAGUUUGUAAAGUAGCCAUUAAUUAAUUUGAAGUUGAAUUUGUCCAAUCAUCAAACUAUUCACUCAUCAAAAAGUUUACUUCCAGCGAACAAUCCAACAAAGCAAAUUGAAUAAAUGUUGGAAAGAGGAGUAGGAUCAAUCUGAUAAAGAUUGCUUUAAUAGUGUUUGAAUUUCUCACAAUAUUUAGCAUAUUUUGUGGGCAAUUUUGUACCCACGAUGUCAAAACCAUUUUUUUUUAAAAAAAUGAGAUCAACUUUGAUUUUGAAAAUAAAAAGUGGGAGUCGCCAUCAAUCCUUUUUAUUUAGGUGUGAUCGGAUCACCUAGUAAUUCAGUCGUUUUAACAAAAAAUUAAAUUUAUUAAAACGAUGAUUUUUGGUUUACAAAAUCCAGAAAACAGGUUAGGGAGUCGGUUACGCACGAGGAAGGGUUAGCACUCUCGAUACGCCCAAAAUUGGUACCUAGUUGAUUAAUUAAUGUCUUAAUGUCGAAAAUUUGAGAACUUUGAAGAUUUUAAAAGUGCGAUCCUUUGUUAAAAUAUUAUUUAAUUUUUUUUGAGAAAAUAGCGUAUUUCACAUUAAUCGAGAAAAAAUUAUGUCCUGUAAGUUAGGAUACAAUAUCUUAAAUCCCCGAAACGAGGAUAAACACCGAAAAUUAUUUAUUUUGGAAGAUGUUAGAUUAUCUCGGUUUUAGAAAGAGAUCAUAACUCGUAAGUUAGAACACGAUAUUUUCUUAAAUCCCGAGAUUAUUUAAAAAACUUAUGUUUAAAAAAAAGGGGCUCGACCCCGUAAGUUAGGGAAUGACUUUUUCAAAUCUCGAAACAUGGAGUAUCGCUUAUAAUAAUUUUUUAAAACACAAUUUUAUGUAUCGUUAAAGGUUAAUGCAAUAUGAUUUUGUAGUAAAAUGGAAAAUGAAUCGCGAUGCCGAUAUGCAUAAUCGAAUAAAAAUGAGGGUGAUAAUGUAAAUAACAAUAAUAAGGGGAAAAAAGGGUAAAUAAUAAUAAAAUAAUAAGACAAAUCAAUUGUAUAUAAAAUGAAAUAAAAAGAAAAGUAAUAUGAACAAAUGAAAACGGGUAAAAAAAGAAAGAAAUAUUAGGUAAGGUAAUUUAAAAAAUAAUACUAAUAAUAAUGAUGAUAAUAAUAAUAAUAACAAUAAUACAAAUAAUAAAUAAUCUAAAGUUUGAAAUUAUUUAAAAAGAUAUAAAUAAAAUAAAUGAUGAAAUGAUAAUAAUAAGAGUAAUGAUAUAUAAAUAAAAUAAAAUAAGUGUGCUAAAAAAAUAUUAAGUUAGUUAAUAUAAUGAUAAUAAUAACGUAUAAGAAAAUACAAAAAAAAGAAAAAUAUGAUAAUAAUAAUAGUAAUAAUAACAAUAAUAAUAACAAUAAUAUAAAUAAUAAUAUAUAUAUGAAUAAUAAUAAUAAUAAUAAUAACAAAUAAUAGUAAUGAUAAUAAUAUAAAUUAAUAAUAAAAAUAAUUAAUUUGAAAAUAAAAUAGCAAAAGAAUGAAAAAGGACUAAAUUGGGCUUAAAAACAGAAAUUUGGGGCAAAUCUGGAAUAAAAAGGAAAGGGGAGGACCUAUCAGAACACGUUAACAACAUAGAGGGACUAAAAGGGCAAUAAUCCCUUUCCUCCAAAAUGCACAGCUUCAAGGGGGACUAAAUUGGAAACGAAAUAAAUUAAUAGGCCAAAAUUAAAAUUUAAAAAAGCUUGAUUGCAAAACCAUGAAAAAGCAGAAGGGCCAAAAGCGUAAAUAACCCUUCCGUUUAAAAACACACGGAUCUUGAGGUGGGUCGGGUCAGAGCAGGUCCAACCAAGGCAAAAUGACGUCGUUUUAAGGCUUAUAAGCUUAGACCAAAACGACGCCGUUUUGAUCCCUUAUAUAAGUCAAGUUUUUUACAAAAAAAAAUCAUUCCACCCUUCAAAUAAAAAAAAAUCUGAAAAGUUCUCUCCCCCUUCUCUUAGUCCGAUCUUCGGUGGGCCUCCAGCGAACAACCGUCGUGCCAGCUGCAGUCGAAAAGUCUCUUUUUUUUGGGCAAAUUCAAAGGUAAAUUUCUCUUCUUCCCUUUUUUAUGUUUUUUUAUAAAUAUGUAUAUAAUAGAUUCAAAAAAAAAAAAGAUAAAAUAGAUAAAAAUAUACCCUUAAUCGUUUUUGAACCUUCUUUUUUUUCUCUUGAUACUUGUUGUUUUCUCUUUCGUUUUCGUUUUUGAAUGUUUGAAAUGCUAUUUCUUUGUAUUCAUGCGUUGUUGUUGGAAAAAAAGAUACAAAGAUUUCAAGGCUUAUAUAGCCAUUUACAAAAUAUUAAAUGCGUUUGUCUAUCCUUGCUUGUCAUUUCCGUUUUAAUUCUUGCAGGCGCAAGAAGGUGGUGGCAACAGUGGCGGUGAAGUAGGUGGUGCUGCAGGUGGGUCAGAGGGUAGUUGGCUGAAGGUCAAACAUAGGGGCGAUGGCUAGCUAGGGUUUUUUUAGUUUUCUUUUUUCUGAUAGUUGUGGGAUAAGGUUAAAAGAAUUUUGGGUUGUUGGGUUUAGGUUUAGCUGGGUUUAGCUAUUUGGGUCUGGGUCUAAUUUGGGCUAUCUGAGUUUUGGUGUUGGUUUAAUUUAUUUGGGUUGUGAUGGGGUUUAGUUUAGUUUAGGGUUAGGAAAUUUGGGCUUAGUUGGGUUGUUUUAUUUUGGGCCCGAGCAAAAUUUGGCCUGUACAGCUACUCCUCUUUGCUUGUUGUCGUGUAACAAGAACAGAACAAAGAUUUUCAAGAAAAACCAACUUUGCCCGGUCAUAUUGAGUCUUGACUUCUUUGGUGCUCCUCUUCUUCAUGUAGCCUCGUUCCAUUCCACUGUGUCUUGUUGCUUCGAUCCACUCUACCUCAACUUUAGAGAAAUAAGACUUGUAGUUUUGAUCUACUCUGCUGCAAAUUCAGGGAGGUAAGAUUUAUAGUUUUAGGUUUAAUCCGACCUACAGCAACUUCAGGGGUAUAGGACUUGUCGCCUUAAUCCGCUCCACUGCAAAUUCAGGGAGAUAGGAUUAAUUGUCUUGAGACUGCUCCGCUGCAACUCUAGGGAGAUAAGACUUGUGACUUCAACCUGCUCUACUGCAACUUCAAGGAGAUAAGGUUUGUUUUGAUCUGCUCCACUAGAACUUCAGAGAGAUAAGAUCUGUAAUUUAUAACUUUAAUAUGUUCCACUACAACUUCAGGGAAAUAAGAUUCGCUAUCUUUAGUCUGCUCCACUGCAACUUCAGAGAGAUAAGAUUGGUGGCUAAAAUCUGCUUCGUUGUAACUUCAGGAAGAUAAGAUUCGCCAUAUUUGAUCUACUCCACUGCAAAUUCAAGGAGAUAAGAUCUUUAACUUCAAUUUGCUCCACUGCUACUUUAGGGAGAUGAGAUUUGCUGUCUUCAGUCUGCUUCGCUGCAACCUCAAGGAAAUAAGGCUAGUGGCUAAAAUCUGCUCCCUUGCUACCUCAGGAAGAUAAGAGUACAAUCUUCAGCCUACUCCCUUGCUACCUCAGGGAGAUAAGGCUAGUGACUUAAAUCUGUUUCCCUACUAACUCGGGAAGAUAAAAUUCAUUGUCUUCGAUCUGUUCCACCAUUGCUUAGGGAGAUAAGAUCUACAAUCUUUAGCCUGCUCUACUGCUGCUCAGGGAGACAAGACUAAUGGCUUAAAUCUGCUCCCUUGCUACCUUAAGGAGAUAAGAUUCGUCAUCUUCGAUCUACUCCACUACUUCUUAGGGAAACAAGAUCUACAGUCUUCAGCCUACUCUAUUACUGCUUAGGGAGAUAGGAUGGUGGCUUAAAUCUGUUCCACUACUGCUUAGGGAGACAAGAUUCGCCAUCUUCGAUCUGCUCCACCACUGCUUAGGGAGACAAGAUUUACAAUCUUCAGCCUAGUCCACUACUGCUUAGGGAGACAAGACUCGCCAUUUUUUAUCUGCUCCACUACUGCUUAGGGAGACAAGAUUCGCCAUCUUCGAUCUACUCCACUACUGCUUAGGGAGACAAGAUCUACCAUCUUCAGCCUACUCCACUACUGCUUAGGGAGAUAGGAUCUGUGAAUUUACCGAUGUUGCUAUACCAUUCUCUAGGGACAUGGUCUGUAGAAUCGGUUCUAUGUACCUAUACUUAUGCCAAAUGUAGAGGAUGCUAUGAUCGAAAUGAAUCAAAUGCUCCUAACUAGAUGUGUUAUGAAUGAUGAAUACAGAAAUGAGAAUGAUCAUUUUUUAAAUGCUUAAGAUAUCAUCGCUUGUUGUUCAUCAGAGCAUUAUCAUUGACGUAUUAUGCUACCAUCUUAUUCAGCUGAUAUUCUUGACAGAAAACCCAAAGAAACAAUCACAUUCUGCUCAGCAAGCUUGCCCCACUGUAAUUUCAGACUCCCUUCCACUGUAACUUCUGGGACAUAAAGUUUGUGUCUCUUAUUUCAACUUUAGGGGAAUAACAUUUGGCUUCUUCCAUCCAUCCUACUGCAAUUCAGAGGUAUAUGAUUUGUAUCAUCUUCAAUCAAUUUGAUUUGUUACACCAUUCCUUGGGUGUAAUGACUAGAUGUAUAUGUCUGAUAUUUACAUGAAUGUAGAGUAUCAUUUUUCUUUUUUGAGAAAUAUCCUUUUCUUUUUUGAGAAAGAUCCUCUUUUACACUUGGUUUGACAUUGCUCGUUAUUUGUCGAGGUUGUAUCACUGAUGAAAUGUCUUGUCUUUUUGUUCAACCAAUAAAAAGUCCAAAGAGAUAAUCAUCUUUCUCUAGUAUUUCCAACCCUUAGACUGGGUGAGUUCUAAACAAUAGUCUUGUUUCAGGUUCUUGUAUUAUUUAGAAGCUUUCAAAGUAAUAUGUGAAACUCUUUUUAUGAAAGUAUUAUUAGUUAACUAAUCGUUACUUCAAUGCAAAAUGCUUGAAAAAGAUCAUAACAAUGGACCGGAAAGAAAUUAAUUAGAAGCAUAGCUCGAAGUAAGUAAGUUGAUCAUGGAUAGUAAAUGCAAUUAAGAAUUUAUUGGGAUGUAUCUUGAAAAGAAAAAAGGUAAUCAAAGAUAGCAAAUUCAAAAAUGGGUAAAAAGAAAAACUAGGUGCCCUAGAUAUCACAAAUUGAGCUUAUCUGUACCAACUUCUUGAUGACCAUUUUGAGCUCAAUUUGUGUUUAGUGGAUCCGGAGUACUUUGUCAAUGCCCCAAAAUGUAGCAUACUUCUUCAUUAUUAAUUCAGGCAUAGCAAGACUACUGCAUACCCUACCUUCGAUCAAAGUUUGAAUUGUCCCUUUUCGGGUUUUCAAGUCAAAACCCCUUUGGUCUCAAGAGGCCCAUUUGCAAGUUUUUGCCUUGGCCUCUCCUUUUUUUUAGAAGGUCUCACAGUGCCCUUUGCGGGUUUUCACAUUGGCCUCUCCCCUUUCUAAAGUACUUUUUGGCUGAAUCCAAGUUUACAGGAUUGGGCAAGUUUUUACCAUCAACCUUGGUCAAAAUUAACACUCCUCCAGAAAAGGCCUUCUUUACCCCAUAAUGUCCUUCCUAGUUUGGCAUACAUUUUCCUCUGAAGUCCUUUUGUAUGGGAAUGAUCUUCUUCAAUGUCAAGUCCCCCUAGUGGAAUUCUGUAGGAUGAACCUUUCUAUCGUAAGCUCGCAUCAUUUGUUUUUGGUACAUUUGAACAUGAUGGAUAACUUUCAAUCCUAUUUAACUGAUCAUAUCAAGAUUAAAUCAAUUUUAUUCAUCUAGCUUCAGCUCAACCAAAAUUUAGAGAGAAAGAAUCUCGACUUUAAUAGGCAAAACUGCUUUCACUUUAAUGAGAAAGGUGUUGUCCUGGUGGAGGUCUUGAUCGACGUUCGGUAAGCAUAGAUGGUAAUUUAUUUGCUGAUCUUUAUGAGUCAAUCAUUUUCCCCACGAUUUUAUUUUUUAUUAAUUUUUAUUUGCACCGUUCAUUUUCGAGUGAUAUGGUGUUUGAUCUUGAAUAGACCGUAAACUUCUGAUGUCGAGCUGUUGAUGCGGUCCUUUUUGGCAUUCCAUACCGACACGAAAUGGUUCCUUUUUUUUUUAAAUCUGCUAGCUGUCAACUUUGUGACAUUAGUAUAUGAAGCAGCUUCCACCCAUUUAUUGAGGUAAUUGACGACUGCAAAGAUGAAUCGAUGCCCGCUAGAAGCUUUUGGCGAGGUCAGCCCACUAACAUCUAUGCCCCACAUCGUGAAUGUCCGUAUACAAGUCAUGAAGAGAUGAAGGAGACACAUGAAUCUUGUAUCUAUAAAUUUGGCACUCAUGACAUUUCUUGGUAUAAUUGAUGCAAUCCUCUUCUAUGGUGGACCAACAGUACCCAAAUCUUAUGGUUUGCCUGGCUAUUGUAAAACUAUUAGCACGUGUUCUUUAAACACCCUUAUGGACCUCUUCUAAGAUUUCCUUAGCCUUGACAACAUACAUACGUCUUAGUAUCCCAAGCAUUUCUUGAUACGAUCAUUUGAAAACAUCUUGCAAAUCUUGGGAUAACUCAAUGACGUCUUGUUUUGUCUUUAUGGUGAUGCAGGCUCCAAUGUUUGUCUCUUUCUUUUGUUCUAGGCUUACUGUCUACUGACUCUUUGUAAGGUAGGAUUUGCUUUCAUCUUGUUCUAGCAUCUUUAACAAAUCAGGAGAUAUGUUACAAUCUUUGUCAUCUUCAAAGUCCUGAAAUCCCACAUAUCUCGCUCAAAAGGAGAUUCUAGGUCAGUAGCAACGUCACUCAUGUCGUUGAUAUCUGAGUACCUAUUGUAGGUACGAAGGCAGACUCCAAAGAAUAAGUUAUUCUAAGGAUGAUUACUUGUAGGGUAUGGUCCUAAAUGAAGAAUAUUCGAAAGAAUGUCAAAAAAUGAAAGAAUCUAAGAAUAAUUGUUUGUACGGUAUGAAAUGGAAAAAAUAAAAGAAUAUUCACUCAAAAUGAUAACAAACAUGCAUUUUAUUGAAAUAAAGAUUUUGGAUAUAAGCCUAUUUCACAAAAGGAUUCUUGUUGCUUCUAGGCUUAAAGUAAUAAGCGUGUUUUGAAUAUUACUCUAGAUUAGCUCUUAGAAUAUAGGGGUCUCUUCCACAGUCUCAUGGUUCAAAACACUCUCAAGUAUGUAAAGGCAGAUGCUCGAAAAAUUCUAUUCCUGGAUUCCCUCUUCUAAUAUGUCGUUAAUAUUCAGAUUCUCCAAUAUCAGGAUUUGCACUAGAGCCCUGAACUUGAUGUAUUCUUGGAUCUCAUGCCCCUAUCCAUCAUGGAACUCACAAUAUUUACCCCUUUAAUAGAAUGGUCGGGUAACGAAUUUUUUUGCACCAAAGGGAUCAUCGAAUUUUACAAUACCCAUUUUGAUGAAUCUUUCGAUUAACUUUUUAAACGCAGUACAGUUCUCGAUCGAAAACCCUAUGAUUCCACAUAGUAUUCGCAUUGGCCGCUUACAUCGUACCAUUUAGGGUAUGGAGGUUGUAUUGGUUCUACGUAAAAAAGGGAUACAACAUGUGCGUUAAACAAAAUUUGGCACAACUUCCUAUACGUGAUUAGGAUGGGCGCAAACUAAGGUUUUUUUGAGUUUGGGUUUAGAUUGAGUUUUUGCCUUGGGGGGACUUGAUGGCUGGUAGUUACUGUCCUUGGCUGGCUUACUGUAAUCGGCUCCGAAUAGCCUUUGUUAUACCUACUUGUACUAUUCGCUUCCUUUUCCUUCUUCUUCGGGGUCCUUAAAGUCCACUCUCCCCUUUUUUUUGUUUCUACAAGAACAACAGGUUUGGCUCGAUCAUCAUUUGGGUUAAAACCUGAACCCAUCAAGAAGUUCAACAGUGCCGAGGUAUCAGUCUGAUAUUGGCGUCUGGUUAGGUCAGGGCGUUUAUUGGGGUAAAACUUGGAGAAUAGAUGAGGACUUCAUUAUCAUCCCCACCAUUGACCACUGGGCCACUCCUUUUUUCAAUUUCUCUAGCUAGUAACUGGGUUAACUAGCCCAUCAUAUUUCUUUGAAAUUCUAGCAUUUGUUCCUGCAUAUCUUGUUGAAUUUUGGUCAAUUGCUCUUGCAUCUGUAUUUUCAUUUGCUCUAUUCUCUCCAACCUUUGGUCCAUAUCUGUUGUUUUAACACAAGUACCGUAACAAUGCUUAGUUCAGUAGACUUUUGUCGGUUCCCAAGUUAGCUGAAAUAAUUUUACCUAAUUAGGGUCCUUUUUUGAAAAUCUAAUGCAUGUGAUGAAAUGCAAUGCAAAUGCAUGGGAUGAAUGCAAAAAUAAAGAGAGGCGUUAAUUCUAGAUUCAAUUCUAUUAGAACAACUUUUCUAGAAAACAAAUUUCUUUACAUAAAAUGAAUUACAUAUGCGGCUUUGCCCUCAUAUUUCAAGUGAAGGCAUCGAUCCUUUUUCUUCAUAUCCUGAUGUUAUGAUCAAAUCUUGCGAAUUUUUUAAAAGAUGUCUCUAUUAUCUCAUUUCUACUCGAUCUAGACCGCGGCCCAUUGCUCACUUAUCCCCGCGAUGCUCAUCAGCUUCUUCAAGACAUGACGACUCUCGAAUAAUCUUUGUUGGCUUGAAUCAUCAGGCAAUGAAGCAAAGUGGUUUAUUUCUUCAUAGACUAUCAGCCUUCUUUUAUUGUUUACUUGGACCAUAUUCGGACGGCCGUAUUAUAUUCCACUUUAUCAAGAAAUCCAUUCUCUAUGACAAGCUUUUCUAUUUAGCAAUCGAAUGUGACUCAAUGCCUCUUUUCUAUGAUGAAAAUGCAAUGCAAUCAAAACAAAAGAAAACAUGUUAGCACAGGAGAAAUAAACAAAAUAGAGUACCUAUCCGGGUGACCACUAGGGGUUCGGAGUGGCUCUACCUAGAGUGGGCUCUUAAGGCUUGCUAUAUGGGGUUUGGUUCUAAAGAAAAGGUAUCUAAACCAGCAGAUUCCUCAAUCUUCACCCAUUAUAGGCUCAUAUGGAUCGAGUUAAGUUUAGGGGAAUACAUUUGUAACGCCCUAAAUUUUUUAUUUUCAACUUUUUAUGAUUUUUGGGCUUGGAAGUGACUGAAUUUGUGGUUCGUGUUAUUUUGGCUUAAAUGUAUAUUGGGUUAAGUAAUUAUGAGCUCUGGGGUGUGUUUGGGAGGUCCUAAGUUCAGGCUGUAACUUGGGCUGAAUUUGGCUUUUUAAUUGAAUUAAGCUUGACUUGAGGUCAGUGGGCUUAUAAGGAAUUGUUGGUAAAAAUUUAACAGAAUGGGUCUACUGGUCUAGUGGUUAAGUGACAAGGAAUUACACUCAGGGUCAGGGGUUUGAUUCCCUGUAAUGGCGUUAGGAUUACUUUUUUGCUGCAAGUUUCGAUAAGCGUUGGGCUUCAUUAAAAUUCUGAGUUGUGGGCUUUAGGGGAAAAACCUAGGGUUAUCUUUUUGUUCCUCAUUUUUGGCAAAAUAGUUUUUACUUUUCGUCUUCUCAUUUCCCCAAAAAUUCCUUUUGCUGCCGAAAUUUCUUUUCUCCUUUUCCUCUCCAUUCAUUUUUCUUUCUCGUUCGUUUGGCUUGGUGCUUUGUUAGUAGAUUUCAUCGAUUCGGUAAGUAUCGCUUUAUGUAAGUUAAGUAUUUUCUGUUGGAGAUUGUUAAAAUAGGUUUUGGUUACUGUUUAGGAGGGAUUCAAGGAUUUCUGAAUCAUUAAUCGGGGUUCUAAACAGUAAGGAAACACCUUUCUUCGUCGAAGGUAUGUAGAUCUCGUGUUUUGAGUUUUAUCCAAUCUUAGGUAAAUCGAUUUAAGUGAUUGAUUUGGGCUCGGUUUUUUCAAUCUUAGGCUUUGGAGUGCUCGUGGUUGGAUUUGCAGCGGAAUCAAACCAGGUGUAUACUCCGAUUGCACAAAAAACGAGUUUCAGAGAAAACCGAAAACCCAGUCUGUCGACGCCACACGGGCGUGUGGGCUGCCCUGUGGUAGCUUACGUCGCGAGACACUGGCUUGUCAUAGACGAGCCAGGCCGUGCGUGCGCCAUACGGGCAUGACAGACACGGGCGUGUGAGGCUGGCGACGUCGUGUACAAGGCACGGGCUCGACCAUUUGGGCCUUGUAGGCCGCACGGGUGUGUGGGUCACACAGGUGAACCACACGGGUGUGUGGGCCCACACGGGCAGGGCACACGGACGUGUGAGCCCAAAUUUCCUAAAAUGUUCUGUAAGGUUGCAUGGGUCGCCUAAGUCGACUGUGACCUACCUGUAGGGUCGGUAAGCGUUACUUAAACCCUAUACUAUGAAUGAUUACUGUGUUGUAUGUAAAGCAUGUUACAAUAAGCAUGUAUAUCUGCUUGAUUUCGUAUAUAUGUUCUUCUAUGAUAUGAUCUGGUUUCUGCAUAUAAGUCUGCCAUGAUAUUUAUGAUGCAUUGCAUUGGGUUGGGUUGUUGUGAAGAGAAGGAAGCCGAAGAGGCGAUUAGCCUAUUAUUGGGCAUCUACGCUGCAUAUAUCUGUUAUGUACUGUUUUAUAGUACCACUUGGUGUGUAGGGCUGGAUGGGUCGAUUUUAUCCCCAUACUUGGUGUGUAGGGCUGGGUGGGUCGAUUUUAUCCCGACAUGGUGUGUUGGGUUGGACGGAGAUGGUGUGCAGGGUUGAUGAGCAUGAUUUCUAUUCUCUGAUAUUUGAUCUGAUCUGCAUGUGAUAUCUGUAUGCAAUCAUUAGCUGAUGAAGAGAUAAAAACUAGAUUCAUAAUCCAACAAAGUCAACAUUAUAGGGCUAUUAGCAAUGGACAACAACUUGUACUUGCCAAUGAUCAAUCAACACAUAUUGAUCCCUAAUUGAGAGCCAAGUUAAUGUUGACUUUGCUGAAUUAUAAGUCUAGUUUUCCUUUUAUUUACAAGCAACGGUCAAUUUGACCAAAUAACGAUGAAGAGAUAAAAAUUAGACUUAUAAUCCAACAAAGUCAACAUUAUAGUGCUUUUAGCAGUAGACAAUAACUUGUAUUAGCCAAAACUAGAUAAAUUGAUACUGAUUAAUUAAUCAUUUAUAAUCAAUUCCGAUUUAUUUAGUUGGUUUACUUAAAAAAAUGCUCAUCCAUAAUUGAGAGCUAAGUUAAUGUCGAUUUUGCUAAAUUAUAAGUCUAGCUUUCCUUUUAUUUGCAUGCAAUGAUCAAUUGACUAAGCAAUAAUGAAAACUAAACUCAUAAUCCAGUAAAAUUCACAUUACAGCUAAUAUUAUUGGCAAAUGGCGACCAUUCCAUAUUUCUAUAUAUAUUUUAAAGGGGAUGAUGAGAGAGAUAAGAGGUAAAUGUAUUUAUAGACUUCAAAACCUAAUCAAAUUCUUGGAGAAAGGAAAAUCAUCAAUAAUAAACAAUUACGUAUUAAUUACGCAUGCAAAUAGACAAUUUUUCCCCAAGGGAAAAUUACUUGGUAAUUGACAUUACUUCUCCUUUUAUUUUUGAAGAACAUGAUGGGUUCACAUUAAUCAAAUUAUAUAUGAAUAAAGUUGCAUAUUGCAUGGAUGUAGGCUUAUUUCCUCCAGGAAAGUUCAUUCACUAUAUAGGUUAUUAUAAUUUAUUCAGUUAAAAAAAUAUAAAAUAAAAAAAUUAUAUGGAAAUAAUAAUUAUAAACUGUAAACAAUAUAUAUUAAAAUUAAAUAAAAAUGAUUUUUUGAAGUUUAAUUUUUUAAGUGGAACUACAUGUAUUAAAUAAAUAAAAUGAGGACCGAAGGAAUAAUCGAAAUAAAAUUUCUCUUCCAAAAUUUUCACUUAAAUAGAUACAAAGUACGAAUAAAUUUGAGUUUUCAUUAACUAAAAAUUUAAAAAAUUCGAUAUAUAAAUUCUUUAGGUUUAAUUCGAUUUUCAUAUCAUUAAAUUAAUAUAUUACAUUAUUAUAUAUUUUAUUUAAUAAUUAAAUUUUAGUUUUGUAAAUUUGAAUAAUUAUUAAGUUUAAAUAUUUAUUAUACAUAUAUAAUAAUUGCAUUAAAAUUUAUUUAAUAUUCAUAACUAAUGUUUUUAAAUUUUUUAAGUUUAUAAUUCAACAUAAAGAUGUAUUGUUUAUUUGUAAAAUUUUAAUAUAAAUUAUAUAAUAUUUAAAAUAUAUUUUCAUAAAUUUAAAUUUUCCGGAUUUUAGAUUGAUCUAUUUCAGACUUGAGCUCGAAUUUAUUUGGGAUUCAAAUUUUCUCAAAUUCAAAUAGGAUUCGAAUCAACCUAAGUUAACUUUUGAGCUCGGGACUAUUUUAUCAACUUUACACAUUGCCAAUUGUUUAUCUAAUUAAUGAAAUAUAUUCCUUUGGAAAAAAGAAAUAAACAUUUUGAUUUGUUGAUGUAAUUCAAGUCAAUGGAGGAUUUAUUUUAAAAUUUUAAAAUUAUUGAUAUUAUUUGAAUUAAUAUUCUUCUAAGUGCGAUCAUUAAAUUAAAUUUUAUUAGUUGAAUAUGAAAUCACAUGUGCCACGGGGCUUCGUAAAAUAAUUAAAGAGCGACUUGGAAUGUAAAUGUUAAAAUUAUUACAAAUUUUGUAUAGUAUUUUUGACAAAUAUUGGUUAAAAUAUACUUUUUAGUCCCUAUAUUUUUAUAUAUUUGAAAUUUAGUCUCUUUAUUUUUAUUUUUAGAAAUUUAUUCAUACUUUUAGAUUUUAAAUUCUAGAUCUAAUUGUUAAUACCGUUAAAAUUCCUCUAUUAAAUUUAACAUUUUUAAAUAAAAAAAUUCACUCAGUAGCUAUUAAAUAAAAAAAAUGAACAUGAAUUUAACAAUAAAAUUUUAACUGUGUUAAAAAUUGGACUUACAUUUUUAAAUAUAAAAAAUAAUGAGAUUAAAUUCCUUAAAAUAAAAGUAAAGAGAAUAAAUUUCAAAUACAUGUGUAAUAGGCACGUGCUUUCUUAAACUGCUUAUAAAAACCAUAUUCUGGCUUUUCUCUGGAGAAUAUACAACAAUAGCUUCCAUGGAAUGAAUAAUCGAUCCCGAAAAACAAAAAUGCCUUUGAAUAAGCAAGAGUAAUCAAAUGAAAUAAAGUGGCUCGAUAAGACCCCAUACUAGAGCUAACACCAUAUAAACCUAUUGGGACAUUGUACAAUAGGCUAAACCCCUCUUAAUAUCUUUUUGAGCAAGGGCUAAAGUAGCCCCUAAUAAUACUGUUAUUAUACCUAUCAAAGAUAUUGGAUUCAUUAUGUAAGGUAUAAAUAUAAAAAGAGGAAGAAGGCAGGCUACAAGCAAAAUUCCCACAGCUACUACAGUGGCAGCAUGUAUAAGAGUCGGAACAGGAGCGAAGCCAGAAUAAAUAUUUAAGGGGGCCGGAUAAAAUUUUAAUUUUUUAUAGUUUAUAUCUUUAUAAUUUGUAAAGGAUUAAAUCAAAUUUUUAUAAUUUUAGGGGGCCAAAGUGCAAUUUUACCUUUAUUAAUUUAAAAUUUUUAAAAAAUUUUAAGGGACAAAAGAAUAAAUUUACAUUUGGGGGGCCGGGGCCCUGCCAGCCUCCCUGGCUUCACCCUUGAGCUGGAAUAGGAGUAGGCCCCUCCAUGACAUCGAGUAACCAUACAUGAAGAGGAAUUUGUAAAGAUUUAAUAAAUGUGCCAACAAAUAAUAAAGAGGCAAAAGUAAACAUUACCUAGUAUUUCCUUUUAAAUAUAAAAAAAAAAUAAUUGUAAACACCCCAUCAAGGAUGUUUUUGACUCUUGACUUCCUCCACCAUUCACAUUUCAAAUCGUGACUCCAUGUAUUUAAUUGAAUUAUUUAAUAAUUAAAUUUAUGAGACUCACGAUGUUGAUAUAAAAAAAUUUAUGCAACAAAUUUACUUAUUCAAAAUUUAUAUAAAAAUUAAAUGAUGUCCUAACUGAAUUGAAAUUCAAUUGAUUCCUGACAUUAAUUCAAUCAAAAGUUUAAUAUAAAUAUAGAUAGAUGGUAAGUACCAUUCCUUUUUCCCUCUUGUCUUUCCCUUUUAAGUUACUAAACAAAUUAAAAUGAAUUUCCUCUUUUCUUGUAAUUUCCAAAUACUUAGAGGGUUUGAAUGUGAAAUUAAUCCAUUAAAAAAGAAGAAUUGUGAAGGUCUGAAGUCUACAUACAACAAACAAGUGGGAUGAAAGGAAAAUGUGUAGACUUUUACUCUCCAACUUCUUUGCUUUGCAUUUCCUUCCUUCCCUUGCUUUCUAAAACAUGAAAUUUUUAGACCCUCACAUUACUACAUGAAUAUACUAAAUUUUAUAUAAAUUUAAUAAUAUCAUAAAUGCAAAACCAACAAAAUAAGAGUAUAGCACAUAUAUAUAUACAAAUUGUUAAAUUUAAUAGUUAUAAUGACUUAUUUGGUCCUAUAAUGACUUAUUUGGUCCUCAAAUUUUACAAAAACAAUUAUUUUAACUUUUCAUUUAACUUUUCACCUCUUUUAGCCACUAAAUUUGUGAUGUUUAUCAAAUCACCUCAAAAAUAGAUGAAAAGUUAAUGUCUAUUAACUUUGUUAACGUGACAUCCAUGUGUCAAAAAUUAAUUAAUUUUUUUAAAAGUAAAAUAUUAUUAAAAUAUUUUUUUACUUUUUAAAUAAUUUUAAUAUUUUUUUGAAUUUUUUAAAAUUUUAAAAAUUAAUUAAUGGCUGGCGUGGUAUCCAAGUGUAUGUCACAUCAGUAAAGUUAAUAAAUGUUAACUUUUCAAUCCAUUUUGGAGUGAUUUGACAAACAACAUAAGUGGGCUAAAAGAGGUGAAAAUUAAGUGGAGAGCUAAAAUGACCUUUUAUUUGUAAAGUUGGAAGGCCAAAUAAGUUAUUAUGUCAAUAUAAUAUUAUAGACAAAAGUGUAAACCAAAACCAUUACAUAAUAAUACUAUGUACGCUUUCCUUCUAAUUUAAAGAUUAGGAAGGUUAUAGGAAGAAGUAGGCAUUGUAUAAAAAAAUAAUUUCUUAACUUUUAUGUUUAGUAGAACAAAGGUAUCUUUUAUAUCUAUUUUACGGUCUAUAUAGAUUAAUUCUUUUAGUGUUCAUGGUUAUCCCGACCUAAUAAUAUUUAUUAAAUAUAAUAAAAAAUUUAAGGAAAAACAUUUAAACAUAUUGAUAAGUUUGGAAUUUAAUUAUACCAAAAUCCAUGCCAAAUAAUCUACAUAUAUCGUGGUUGGUUUAACAAAUGCUUACCCUUAAUUCAAAGCAAAUUUAAUGUUAACUUUACUAAAUCAUGAGUUCAGCUUUCUCUUCAUUUACAUGCAACGAUUAAUGAGAUGAAGACGAAAAAAAAUUUAAACUCAUAAUCCAGCAAAAUCUACAUUAUAGGGCUAUUAGUAAUAGAUAACAACCUGUACUUGACAAUGAUCAAUUAACAAAUACUCAUCCUUAAUUGAGAGCUAAAUUAAUGUUGAUUUUAUUGAAUUAUGAAUCUACUUUUCCUUUCAUUGGCAUGCAAUCAUUAGUUGAUGAAGAGAUAAAAACUAAGCUCAUAAUCCAGUAAAGUCAGUAUUAUAGGGCUAUUAUCAUUGGAUAACAACUUUGUACUUGUCAAUGAUCAAUCAACACAUGUUGAUUAAUCUCUCUCUCUAUAUAUUUUUUGCUUCAGUCAAUCUGUUUAAAAGCAACAGAGUAGUAGUUCCAGUUAAACAAUACAAUUGUCACAAAAGUUAAUAUAACAUGAAAACUAGACAUUCCAAUCACUAAUCUAAUGAAGAGAAAAAAAACUAGGUUCAUAAUCCAGCAAAGUAAACAUUAUAGGGCUAUUAACAAUAGAUAGAAACUUCUAUUUGCAAAUGAUCAAUCAACACAAUGAAUACCUAAAAAAUGUUAAUCUAUAAUUGAGAGCUAAAUUAAUGUCAAUUUUGCUGAAUUAUGAGUCUAGCUUUCCUUUUAUUUGCAUGAAAGGAUCAACUGACCAAGCAAUAAUAAAAAAUAAAAAACUAGACUCAUAAUCUAGCAAAAUUAACAUUAAUUUAGCUCUCAAUUAUUCGCAAUGGCGACCACUCCAUAUUUCUAUAUGUUUCAAAGGGGAUGAUGAGAGAGAUAAGAGGUAAAUGUAUUUAUAGGCUUCAAAGCCUAUUCAAAUUCUUGGAGAAAGGAAAAUCAUCAAUAAUAAACAAUUAUGUAUUAAUUACGUAUACAAAUAGUUUGCAAUUUUUCCUCAAGGGAAAAUUGCUUGGUAAUUGACAUUACUUUUCCUUUUAUUUUUGAAGAAAAUGAUGGGUUCCCAUUAAUCAAAUUAUUUAUGAAUAAAAUUGUAUAUUGCAUGGAUGUAGGCUUAUUUCUUAUAGGAAAGUUCAUUCAAUAUAUAGGUUAAUGGAAUUUCUCGAGUUAAAAAAAUAUAAAAAAAUAUGGAAAUAAUAAUUAUAAAAUAUAAACAAUAUAUAUUAAAAUUAAAUACAAAUGAUGUUUUGAAGUUUAAUCUUUUAUUUUUUAAGUGGAACUACAUGUAUUUAAUAAAAUAAAAUGACGACCCAAGGAAUAAUCGAAAUAAAAUUUCUCUUCCAAAUUUUAUACUUAAAUAGAUCCAAAGUAUGAAUAAAUUUGAGUUUUCAUUAACUAAAAAUUUUAAAAAUUUGAUAUAUAAAUUUUUUAGGCUUAAUUUAAUUUUCAUACCAUUAAAUUAAUAUAUUACAUUAUGAUGGUCACUAAACUAACUAUAAAUACGACAAAGGCAAGAGUACCUAUCGAACAAUAAUAUAGUUAUGGUGAGUAGGAAAUAUCGUAUUCACGAGAACUAAAAGUACUAGUAAUUACCGUUUUCUUAUUAUUUAGGCGAUAAAUUGAAGUGAUUGCUUUUAAUCUAAAUUUACUAAUCUAAUUUAACUAUGAACGCAACAAAGAAUGAAAUGGGGAAAUAAUCGAAGAUAACCAAAGAGAAAGGCAAUACCCAGGAAAGAAUCCACCUAGACUUCACCUAUUAUUUUGAAUCUGAAUUAAACUAUUUAUUUACUUGUGUCUUGACUCGUAGAAAUCCCUAAAUUAUGUUAAUAUCUCUUUCGAGAGUAAGAACAACUGACUCUAGGUUGAUUGAUUAAAAUCUUUUUCUAAUUAAAACCCCUAUCGUCGCAUUAACUCUAUUUAUGGAUUUCCCUAUUAGAUUUGACUCUAAUCUGAUAGAUUUAUGUUGUCCUAUUUCUAGGAUUGCAUGCAACACCACUCAAUUAUGUUAGAUCUACUCUUAAACAUGGACUUUUGCUCUACUAUAAUAAGCAUAUUAAACAUGAAUUAAUAUCCCAUAAAUAUUUGAACAAGAAAUUAGCAUACAUAAUUGAGAACAAGAAUCAAGUAUUUAUCAUGUAAAUUAGAAAUCAAAUGAUAAGAUUCAUCAUAGGUUUCAUCUUCCCUAGAUAUCUAGGGAAUUUAGUUCAUAAUCUGAAAUGAAAACAUCUCAAAGUAAAAAAAACCACAAGACAUAAAGAAAUUCAAUAAAACUUCGAAAGAAGUUAAAAGGAAAUCUUCAAUCUUGAAGGAGAUCCGCUUUUGAGUUGGCUCUGAUGGUGUUCUUCGAGUGAUUUCUUCAAUCUUCUCUGUGUGCUCCCCUAGGUCUUCUUCUAACUGGUAUUUAUAGACUUUAGCAUGCUCAGAAAGCCUAAAAAUUGGGUUUUUUUGCGUAUUUGGGAAGCAGGGUGCAAUAUUGACACGGGCUGGCACAUGGGCAUGUGGCCAGUUGAUAGUCGUCGAAACCACCAAAAAUAAUUUCUACAAAAUAAAUCUAAAUAGUAGUAAAGAGUGGUAGUAGGGUUGAGUCCACAGGGAUUUUAUGUUAUAAUCAACUUCUGUGUUUAUCUUGUGAACAGAACAUUUUUCGUGUCGAAGGUCGUGGUAAAAGUUGUGCCCACGACUCCAAACGAACCUGCACAAAAAUUAACAAAUAAAUCUGGGGGUUUUGAAAAUGUUUAGAAAGUAAGUAGUUGAAUUAGUGUAAAUAAACAAUUAAUUAGUAUUAGAAAUAAAUUUAGAUCGGGAAAUAAAUUCAGCAUUUUGUAAACAGAGAUAAUAAGCUUUAGCCAUAGACUCGGUAGAUUCCGUAUUAAGAAUCAAUCCUUGAAAAUUAAUCUUCUCUUCCAAACGAUAAGCUAUUUCUAGAAGUUAAGAACAUCCUAACCACCAAUUCUUCCUCUCAUAGCUGGUCUCAGUAUGACUUGCAAACCAACCCUUACUGAUUACCUAACCAAGAUACACGUGUUCCCGAUUCAAGAUUCUGGCAGCCUUGCACUUUGAAGAACCCAACUGGAAUCCACAGCCUCAACUGCAUGGGUCAUUUAAACUCGAUCACUUCUUCCUUGAUUUGUUGUCGGAGAUCUGAGUACAACACGACUGACUCGUUUCUCCAACUAUUAGCAAACACAACUCUAACCCAACGUGCACUUUGACUUGAAAUCGAGUUUAACUUUAAGGGAUGAGUUGUCUAUCCCGAUACUUAGGAAAAAAGUGUAUACUGAUUGGAAGGAGUGUCUCAAGAUUCCCAACUGGAAAGAACACCGGCCUAAAUCUAAGAUGGAAUUUAGUGAAGCAUGAAAUUAUUCAUGCUUUAUAGAUUUUGAAAGGUGAUUUGAUGAUGGGUUGAAGAAUGGGAAAGAAAAGUACUUAGAAAGUAAUUAGACCAAUUUUGAAAAAAAAAUAAAGAAAUGGAAACAGAAUGCUGAUGCUAAUUUGAAAGAAAAAAAAAGAAUAAUGGCUCCUUAAUUCCAAAUUGAAAUCAAAUGUAAAAUUAGAUGUGUCUCUCCUAAGGCCCUAUUUAUAUGCAUGGAAUUUACUAAUUUUAGUCUUAACCACUUUAACAUAAAAUAAAAUACAUAAAUAAAUAAAAUAAGAUUCUUCUUUUCUAUUUUUGGCUUUUACAAAGUCAAAAAAAUUUGAUGAGUCAUUAGAUUUCUCCAUAUUUUGUAUUCGACCUCAUUUCAUUGAUUGUGUUUCAAUUUGAUCCUUUUCUGCUUGUUUUUUUGUCUCUUAGCGUCCCAAUUGUAUCCCUGACAAGAUUAAAACAUAAAAGCACUUAAUUUAGCGGGGAUCAAUUCAAAAAUAAACCGAAUUAAACACAAAAUGUCAUGCAAAUUAAUAUGUUAUCAAAUCCCCCUACUUAGCUCAUGCUUGUCCUCAAGCAUAUUGUUCUUUCAAAUGUUAGAAAUUAUUCUACAAUUUAUUAAAAAUUGAGCCUCUUUUCAGCAUCCAUAAUCAAUGCUGUAAGGCCCAAUUUUGGCCAGGGUCCGUUCAAACACAAAAAAAAGAAUAAAUUAUAAUAAAAAUAUUAUAACAGUCCAAAUAUUACAACCUAUUUACAACAAAUAUUGACAGUCCAUCGGCCCAAAAUAAUUACAAGGACCCAAAUUAAUCCUAGCCCAAUAUUACACAACAGAGCAGGCCCAAAUGGCCCGAGAGUUUAGCAUUCACAAAAACCCUAGGGUCCCCCUUCAGCACACCUCCGUACGCCCCACGCCGAGUGCCACGUACCAACACAGCUAGCCUCGUACCUCCAUAGCUGCAAACAAACAAGAGAACGACAGCAAACACGAAGGAAAAUUUGUAUUUUUUUUAUUCUUUUGGAUUUUAGCUAUAAAGCCAAGAACUUCUUCAUUGUAUUUUUUUACGCAUAUUAAAUAGAAAAAUACAAAAGCAACCAAGAAAUAGAAGGUGAUUUUAGAUUUCAUUUGCUCGUGAUUUGAUUUUUUUUCUUUGUUCCUGCUUAAGGAUUCUUUCGCAUGAAAAUAAAAAGUGAAAAUGAGAGGGCUUACCUUCGCAUACAAGCCAUCGGAGUCCUCAUCUCAUUUGUUGAAAUCAAAGUUUGAGAUAGGAUUUUGGGGCUGAAAUCGACGGCCUUUGAGGCUUGGUUCUAAACGGAAGGCAAUAGGACGCCAUUGUGCGCCAUCAUCCACCGAUUAUGGUGGUGGAAUGGCGGUUGAACGGCGGACCGAAUGAGAGGGGGGAAAGGUUUUAAGUUUUUUUUUCCUUUUCAAAUGGCUAAUAGUUAACUUAGGGUUUCUUUAAUUUUGUUUUAUGAAACAUAUGAAACAACGUCUUUUUAAGCCAAUCUCAAUAGCUACAAAACGACACCGUUUCAGGAGCCAUAACCUAAUGACCCAACCUGUGCCCGGAUAGGAUCCGCGCUUUGGUCUGAAGGUUAUUUGCGCGCUAGAUCCCUCUCUUUCGCGCUGAUAUCUGAUUGGGCCCUCCAUGCAUCUUCUUUUUUUUUUAAUUUUUCUUUGAGAUUUGCGCGUUAUAGCAAUCUAAUCCGCGCCUAAACGCAACGUUUUGGGAUUUGGUAUAUUGCCAGUUUUGGUCCCUGCGCAUUCGUGCGCAUUGCGCUUUAGUCCUUCUUCUAAUUUCAGUAAUUUAUUUUAUUUAUUAAGUAUCCUUUUGCUUUAAUUUUAUUUUAAUUGAGUCCUUUUGAUUUGUAUAAUUCAUCAUUUUUUUAAAUUCAAUGUAUAUAUAUAUUUUGAGUUAUCAUGAUAAUUUUUAUCCUUUUUUAUAUAAAAUCGUUAUUUUAAAGCUUUUUAUAUCGUAUGGUUUUAAAGAUUUUGUAUGAUAUUUCAUUUAAAUGUUCUUAUAUACUAUUAUACAUAUGUAGUUCAUGAUAAAUUUAGUUUUUUAUUCUAUAUAUAUUAUUAAUUCUAUGUUACUUUACAUACAUAAUUUCUUUUAAAUCUAUUUAUAUAUAUUUUAAAACCUUAUUUACAUAAAGUAUAUUUUAUCAUAUAUUUUUUUGUUAUUUAAGAACCUUUCAUAUUUUAUAUGUUCUUUAAAUUAUUUUUUAUUGUAUGUAUAUGGUCAACUUUAAAUAGGUAUAUCAUUUUAAAAAUAUUUUGUACAUUAUUUGACUCAAAUUUCUCCUUUUGUAAUAUCUAUUUUAAUAAACAGUUAUGUAUAUCCUUAGUUUUUUUUAUAUAAAUUAUUUUAAAUUUUGCAUGUGUUAUUCAUUUAUAAUUUUCCAUAUAAUUUUUACAUCGUUUCACAUCGUAUUAGUUCCUAGUGUCUAUAUUGUUUGAUAUAUUAUGUGGGGUUUUUGGUUUUCAUAUUGUUAAUACAUUAUAGUUUCAUAUUGCCCAUUAGUCUCUUGUGUUGUUCUUUUAUCUAUGCUUGCAAGCUUUCUAUAAUCUUUAUGCUUAUUUGUUUCUUUAAUUAACUAUAUUACUAGUUUUCAUUGUUUGAAUUAUAAAUAUUUGGAUAUGAGCUUAAUGUUAUUUUGUAGAUGUCAAUUUGUUUUUUUUAUACUAUUUUUCAUUCAUUAAUUGAGUUCGCUAUCAUGUAUCUUGUCUCAUGUUUAUAAUUUUGCCUUUCAUUCGCAAUUGACUCAUUGGGAUUUUUAACUUAUUAAUCCAAACUAAUUAUUCCAUUUUAUUUCAAGUAAAAUUAAUGCGUUUUGAGCUAGCUCUACAAUUGUUUAUUUGAAAAUUUACUAAAACAAAGGUAAUGAUUGAUGUUUGGGAACUCGAGGAAUCGUGCCCUAUCGUGCUGGGUUUCGAUUUUCCGUUUGUCCAAAAUAAUCAAAUAUUCCUUUGAAAUUUCAUCCUAUUUUCUAAAUUUUAAAACAAGGCAAUGUUCAAUGUUUGGAAAUUCGAGAAAUCGCGCCCUACCGUGCUGGGUUUCGGCUUUUCGUUGGACUAAAUAAUUGGGCAUCCUUUUGUAAUUUUCAAUGUAUGAGCUUUUGGAAGUCAAGAAUUAAUCGUGGUUUCGAAGGUAUAAAGGAUCGUGUCCUAUCGUGCUGGAUGUGAUGCUGUAUUCCUUUGAAACAAGAGAAUUUUGACGACCAACUUGAGUCAUUUGGAUGUUUUAAAAGAAAUCAUAUUUCAAAGCAUUUUUUUUAAAUCUUAGACGUAAGGACAAUACUUAAUCAAUUUGGUACCAAUUUUGGGCGUAGCGAGGGUGCUAAUCCGUCCUCGCACGUAAUCAGCUCCCAAACCUAUUUUCUCGAAUUUCGUAGGCCAAAGUUGAUUUAAAUAGAGUAAAAUGUUUUAUCAAAUGAUUCAAUCACACCUAAACAAAAGGAUUGGUGGUGACUCCGCUCGUUUUAAGGUCGAUCCCCUUUUUUCCAAAAAAAAUGGUUUCGACAAAUGCAAACAACAUAGGAAAAAAAAUAAAUGCUCAAAAUAUAUAGUUUGAUCAAUAAGUGUCAUAAAACCGAAAUAUGUGAAAUAAAUCAUUUAACUAAAUUGAAUUUGAAUCCAAAAUUUGUAAGGUAUAACUAAUUAAUCAUGCAUUAAUAAAAAAAAUUUAGACACGGUCAAACCUUUUUAUGCAAACUAGGAUGACAACCCAAGCACUCUAUCUCGGUUACUCAGUUCAAGCAGUCUCAUUUUUUUUGAAGGCUCGGUUGGCGGAAUAUAAGCACCUUAUCAAUGGCUACAAAUUGAUGCCAGUGAUUUUCAAAUUUUCAAAUUUAUGUUGCUUUUCCUUUCUAUUGUAAAAUAUUCUUAUUGGAUAUAUAUCUAAAUAUGAGUUUUAAGUUAUGAUAUUUAAAAUAUUUAUUAAAUACAAUGAAAAUUUUAAGAAAAAAC
rnacentral:lncRNA from 1 species